rnacentral:lncRNA from 1 species
GUUUUUUUUUUUUUGCUGGGGUCAGGUCAACCUGUUGGUAAAGAGUAUUAAAAAUGCAGACGCUUGGGUUUCUCCUAACUCCUUUAAAGUUCCUUUAAAGUGGACAAUCAGUUAACUUCUUACUGUUUCUAGGUAUAUGUCAUUAUGUGUCUAUCUUUUAGCUUGUUUUCUUUGCAAUAUAAAUUGUUUGAAAUUUAAAUGGUCAAUGGGAAACGGUCUCUUAAUGGUUUUGCUAAAUAAGGCCUAUCAGGAUGGGGUAGCUUAGCUUUAUGAUCUUGUCUUUUGGUGCUACUUCACAAGUUGCACUAGUUCUCAGUUUGUCCCAACGAGCUUGCACUCAGUAUGGAGAUCCUAUAUUACUGAACCGGUUAUUUCGUUUUUGCAUACAUGAUCUCUCAUCUAUUUCUUUUGGUUAUCGUGAUCUCUUUUCUUGUUCUCAUUUGUAUUCACCACACAAAUUUGUGUUCCUUGCACGCAGUGUCAUCUGACUUUACAAAGGUAGCAGAGGCAAAGUUUUCGGUAAUGUCUCGUUCUUUGUCUUAUCAGCUAGAGGAAAUUAUGGAACCAUUCUCAUUCAAAUUUAUGAGAAUAUAAGCAUUGACUGGAUGCAGAAGUUUCAUAUACCUAAAUAGACUUUAGUUUAUAUUUGCAGAUUCCAGUAGAAGAGUUCUUUAGAUUGUUUUUUUCAGAUGGUGCUGUCAGUUUUGUUGAAUCUUUCCAUAAAAAUUGUGGAGACAAAGGUAAAGCUAUAAGUGAUGGAAUCAUUUUGCUCCUGUGUUUAGCUGUUUUCUCUCUCUUUCUCGGUGUUCUUUUAACCAGAAGAGAUAUUUGUACUUGCAGAGUUUAGGUGUACCUCUUGGCAACCUCAUGAAAAGCUUGGACACACCCGCAAUGUCUCAUUUCAACAUCCGAUAAAAAUUUAUUUUGGUAAUAUUUUUUCUUUCCUAUAGAUAAACAGUACUAGAUUACGGUUUAUAUCAAAUAUAUAUUUUUUUGGUGUAAUUAUAUAAAAUAGAUUACGGUUUAUAUCAAAUAUAUGUAUGCAUGACUCUGGCUUUCGUUUAAAGGUGCAAAGUUUGGUGGCUGCCAGGAGUCACAGAAAUUUCGGAUGUACAGAAAUAGGUACAGAAAUUUUGUAAUGUUUUUUGGUUUUAUUCUAUAUCGUCAAAGCAAAGCUAGUCUGAACUCAUGCAUGCUUAUCCUCUGUUAGCUAAUAUUGUAAUUUCCUAUGCUAGCCAUCUGGUUAUUGAAACAUCACAGGAGAUCAGCGAUGUGCCUUAUGCAGAUUAUUUUACGGUAGAGGUAGGGGAAAUUUACAUCAAAUGCUAUCAAUAUUUUGUUGUUUGAUGUGUGUUACAUGUGAAAAAUUUUACCUUUGGCUGAUCCCAGGGAGUCUGGGACUUGAAAAGAGAUUGCAGAGACUCGGUAGAAGGUUGUAUAUUGGAUGUUUAUGUCAAUGUGGCCUUCUCUAAAAGAACAGUGUGGAAAGGUUUGUUAAGCCUAAUUUACUCUUCUUUAUCCUUGAUUUUUUUCACUCUUGCCUCCUAUCAAUGAAGAAAUUUCAAUUAAUAGUUCAAGAGUGUUUGCUGCGGAUUCUCGUUCUUAUAGAUUUGGAAAUCUUUCAGCUUUGUUGAAUUUGAUGGUUCUUGAAUCUGGCUUGACGUCUAUGAAUUUUUACAGGGAAAAUAGUGCAGUCUACUUUAGAAGAAUGUAGAGAAGCUUAUGCACAUUGGAUAAGAAUGGUACUUGAUCAGGGGCCAUUGGGUCAACAUUUUUUUUUUUUUAGUUUCUGCAGGAAUUUAAACAAGUUUAUAUAUAUUUUUCUUCAUUAUUAUCUUUGGAGGCACAUGAACUGUUGAAGCAGAAGAAGCUGGAGAACCAAGAAGGUUAGUGUUGUAGACUGAUGAUUAACAGAAGCUUUUCCCCGAAGAAAGCUGGCUGACACCAUAUUCUACAGGGAAUAAGUUGAUUGAGGAUGGUGAACCGCUAGCAGCAAGGGAAGAAAGAGUAUCUGAAUGUGACGAGGAGGGGAAGGUGGAAAUGGUGGGCGAAGGGGUAGUUAAAAAAAGCUUAAAGGAAGCAUGGGUGAAUCUGACUUCAUUUGUGAAGAGGCAAAGCGGGACAAGGCAGGUUAUAGUAUUAGCGUUUGCAGUAAUCUUACUGAUGCAGGUAUGUGUAUUUUGGAUAAAUUGGUAGUGAAAGAGAGAGAGAGGGAGAUAGAGAAAAAAAAAAGCUAACAAUAGGUGGAAGUGUGGACAGGUGACGAUAGUGGUGCUACUGAAAAAAGGAGGAGGGGGGCAAGUGGAGUAUCAUGAGAGGUACGACGAGUACAGUGUAAACGGGGAGACUUUGGGGUGGUUAGAGAAGAGAAUGCAUUUCCUGAGGGAAGAGAUGAUGAUGGUUGAGGAUCGUUUGCAGAGGAUGCGACAAGACCAUGCCGCCUUGAAGGCUCAGUUCCACCAUUUGGAACGCCUCCUCCGCCGCAACAAACAGUAAAUUUGCUACACCCUACUCUCUGUUUGUGCAGAAUGCGGAUGGAUAUAUGCAUGUAUGUAUGUAAUGUAUUAUCGGACGUUACUUUGCAAAGUUGUUGUUAUACCUACCUACUCAUAUGAAUAUGAGCAGAGACUCUGUUAAACGAAAUGAUGUAAUCAAUUGUAUUCGUGUUGCACCUGUAUCAAAGAUUAAAUUCACACUGGUGACUCCACUUUCUCGCUAUUGGAUUCUCUCAAUGUCUCAAUCAAACAAACAAAAGUUGAUUCUAAUUUAAAUUCCCGAGACGAUUAUCUUUGUUUUCAAUGAUGAUCACGUUUGAUAUAGGAAAAAACAAUUUGUGGGUUUUAAAUCGAGUCGUAGAACAUUGUUAUGCAAAGAAACCCAUAGAAAACCACUAAAGGCAGAAAUGAAAAACAAGAAUGUUGGAAAGAUGAGGACCUCAUCAUGAGGUAAAGCAAAUAGGAAACGUGAAAAACAGAAUAAUAACCAACCAAAGGAGCUUAAUUACAGACAAGACAGAUUUGGGGGGAUGUUGUGUAAAAACCAAGUAGUAGUGAAUUGGAGCCUAGUCAAAAGAAGGAACACGUGUUCUAAGAUUGGAAAGGAUAUUGCUAGGCUGGUCACGUCAAUCAAGUUGAGCAGCAGCCGUUCUUCUGUGCCACAGGCUGUCCUCUGAUCUGCACGGUCGGUGGUCUUGCAUUAUUCCCAGCUGGUUGGCUAGCCAUUCUGCAUCCAAACCACAGAGAUCAAUUUCUCUCAUAUAUCACACGAACGCACACUCUCUGCAAAUUGAUUAAGUACAACUACUUGAAUUUUCAAUUUGAACACUGCAAGGUCAACAUCAGUCAUUUAUUUAUUUCACUCCAAGGUCACUUACACAGUGACACUUUCUGAGAUCUAUAUAAACACUUACAAAAAUGAGAUUAUGGCUUCGCAAAAGUUCCAUCAGGUAUGAUGAGUAUAUUAACCGCAGUUACUUAAAAAGAACGAUGUAAGAUAAAUACCUCUCUUUGAUGGAUGCAGACAUUGCCAUGAAAGCCUGUUCUACGUUUGUAGCAUCUUUUGCACUAGUCUCCAUAAAAGGAAUCCCGAUUUCAUCGGCAAAAGCCUAUGAAUGUUUCGAAGUAAUCAGGAAAGUAAUAAUAGCCUUAGAGUUUGAUGAUUUUCAAAACUUGAGAAGAAAGAAUUGGUUCAAGUGGCAUAUAUAUACCUUGGCAGUUUCAUAAGGAAUGGCUCUGUUUUCAGUAAGAUCAGACUUGUUUCCAACAAGGAGUUUGUUGACAUUGUCACUAGCAUAACGAUCAAUUUCACUCAACCAUUGCUUGACAUUAUUGAAGCUUUCUUCAUCUGUGACAUCGUAGACAAUCUACCAGGUGCAAGAACUAAAUUAGGACAUAAACUUAAAGGAGUCAACAGAAAGAACCUAGAUAAGAUGUUGCUUACAAUAAUUCCAUGUGCCCCACGGUAGUAACUGCUAGUAAUAGUCCUGAACCGUUCUUGACCAGCAGUGUCCCACUGAAAAUAAGUGAAGAGGGAAAAAUAUGAAUUAAGGGAAAGAGACGUAGAGCUAUUAACUUGACAAGUGUGAAAAUAGUUACAUACAAUUUGGAGCUUAAUUGUUUUGCCAUCUUGUUCCACAGUCCUAAUUUUCUGAACAAGAGAUAUAUAAGAAAAAAAAAAAGGUCAGAUCAAAGCAUCGUCAUCAGUAGCAAGAAGAAAAAAAAGAAAACAUCAACUUACAAAAUCGACUCCAAUAGUGCUAAUGUAACUUUCUACAUAAGAAUCAUCCUGCAGCAGAACAACAAACAUGAACAAAUGUAGAAAGCUACAGUGUUUGAUCUCUGAGAAAGAAAAAGACAAAAAAAAAAACUUACAGAGAAUCUCAAAAGAAGACAAGACUUGCCUACGCCAGAAUCCCCGAUAAGCAGGAGCUUGAAAAGAUAGUCGCUGCAAAUCCCAAAACGCUAAUUAAACCCUAGGAACCACCCGGAGAAUCAAAUAUAUAACAGAGGUAAUUUCGACCCAAGUAUGUGUCGAUGGAGAAAGGAACUUACUACUCAGGAUUCAUGGUUUUCGAUCUGUGGGAGGAAGAGCAGCGAGCGAUACAGAGCCAGAGAUCUCUCUCUCUCUUUUCUGAUUUUCUCUCGCGAUUUACAAGAGGAGGAGAUUCAGUGUUUGGGCCUUGAAUAAUAAUAUGAGCGAAGGCCCAAUAAUGCAAAAGAUUAAAAUUCAUUCUUCUUUCACAAGUUUAGGGUUCCUACGAUCCACUCAGCAACGAAAAUGGAUCAAGCCCGACAGAGUCCAGAGGAGCGGAGGCCCAAUAACGCCAAGAUUAAAAUUCAUUCUUCUUUCACAAGUUUAGGGUUGUAAAUUGGCCCUUCCUACGAUCCACUCAGCAAUUGGAGAUUGUUUUGUGGUUCCCAGAUGUUGGAUCUAUACUAGUCUUCUUGAUUCAUUUUUCCAAUUGUUGCUUGCUUUUUGAUUGACAUCUAUAUUUUAAGUUGGGAGAUAUACUCUAACUCUUUCUGGAGGAGGAGGUUAAAACAAGGUAAGGCUUGGACUCGGGUCCCAUCUUCCAGUAGAAGCUCUCUCUCCAGUUGAUGCCUUGUCGAUUUCAGCACCGUCUGCCAAACAAACACAAAUUUACUUACACUCAGUCUCUGAAGACUGAGUUGAUCUCUUAAAGUCAAAGCUAUAUGGAGGAGAAAGGCUACGUUAAAAUCCAUGUAAAAAAAAAAAAAAAAAAAUCCAUGUAGGAAUCCCGCAUUGUGAGCCACUUAUCAUCCAUCACCUUGAACGCAAUGCAAUAUCGAAUAUCAAAUGCGGACUCGUUUUCUAACAAUAAAUUAUACACCAUCCAAUUGUCAAUAUAUAUGGCUUCGCGUUUAUCUCUCUUAACCCAAAGCUGCUGUAACUAACUAACUAACCAGCUACUAAUGUUUCCCCGACCAUCUUAAAAGGUAACUAACUAACUAGCUGAUGCUAGUUGGUGCCUGAGCAGGGGUGAGAUCAAAGGAAUAACGAGAGUGGUGAUCCCUUUUCUGUGCACAAACACAAGCCAGUCCCCGCCCUAACCAUGCACCUGAUCCUGCCACAAGAUGAAAUAUGCAUGUGACUCUCUGCAACACACUACAACAAGGUAAAGGAGACUAGUGCGUGCUUAACCUGAGGAUGAAUGGCAGGUGCGUCCUCUGUCUAGGCUGUGAGUAAUCCGCCUGACACUGACAAAUGAAUCCUCCAUUGUUCUUCCCGAUUCAUAAAAAGCUACUCUUGAUAUCUUCAAUGCAAAACCAGAUUUACGGGUUUUGGAGGAGCAGUUUGAAUGGUCCGAGGGCGUUUUUUUAGAAUGGAAACAAUCCUAAUUAUCGACUAAUCCAGCUAGUUUUUGAUACUUUGUAUUUUAGAUAGAUCACAUUCCUUAGUUUAAAUUGGCUUGAGGGAAAAGAAACAUGCAUCAUAUGUAGAUGUACAUUAGGGAGAGUGAAUGAUUUGUGAUAAGAAAACAGCAAGUAUAUGGUUUUUAGAAGAUAGGUUGUGGUUCAUGAAAGGUUCUUCACAUGGGAUGUUGACACAAAAAAGGACCAAAAGUUGAGGUAGAACAUCUUACAUACCCACUUUCACCCAAAUCCAACAAAAAAAAAAAACAGAGAACCAGAGACAUAAAAACAACCAAACUUCAGUCACAAAGUCCUCAUGUUCCCAACAAAUUCAUCGCGUCUUGACAUGUCACAAACUGAUUUUCUUCUCUAGAUAGGCUUGAUUUUGAAGUGCAGAGAGAUGAGCGAAAAAACAAGACAUUUCAAGUCCUGCAACCAUGAAAGUUUCAAAAGGAAUAUGUUAGAGCACAAAUAAAUACAGAAACUAAAAAAAAAAAAACUACAGAACCAUGUAAGGGAUGAGUGUUAACAGCCAAACCCUAAAUGUUAAAGUUUGAGACAGUGAAUACGUUAAAAGGCAGAGUCCUAAAUAUAUAAUCGAGUCCAAUAGAGUUAAGGGAUUAGGUAAAAGAAAAGAUGGUAAGGCAAGGGGUGGAAGAAAAAGAGAGGAGACCUGAACAAGAUAGUAGAAGAUGCGAAGUCCUUCAGGAUCAUUACUGCUCUGGCAAUCAACAAGAGAUCCAAUCUUAGAUGUAGCGAAUGAGAUAUGCUCAUUACCCAAGACGAUCUCGAGCUCUUGCUUUCCAACACGGUCAGGUUCCGGCCAAUUGUUAUCGUCUUCUUUCAGAAUCUACCCGCAGACAAAUAAUCACAUGUCAGGUUGUACAAAAUCAUCCAUUAUUCCUAGAUAAUAGCAUUAACAACGAAGAGGGUUCUAAACCUACAACACUAGUCAGGAAAGAUGCCCUAGAUCGACAAAAAUCGAAGCAAAAUCACUAAAACCCUAAUUGGCUAUUAUAGCGUCGAUUGACCAAAACGCGGACAAUUAACAAGAGAGAAGCAAAUCGGAAGAGAGAGAGAAAAAGGACCUCGCUCUCGGAGACGAUACGCUUGCAUUCCUUGAGCACGGCGGGGGUGAGAAAUACCUCCUUGCGGAUAAUAGUAUCGUUCUUGUAGUUAGAGUUAUUGGCGUAACGGAGCUUACCGUCCUCUCUAAACUCGAACUCCAGGAACUCGUGUCCAAAUUUCCCUUUGUGACCGACAUAGUAUCUCAGGUAGAACUCCGUCGCUUCUUCCGCGGCCAUGCCUUCUCUUUUUUUCUUUCUUUCUCGAGAUCGAGAUUACCUCUCCGUGUCCUUUGCCCUUCUUUAAGUCCGUCCCCGCAAAAGAAAAAAGGUAAUGGGCUUACAUAUUGGGCCAGAACCCAUUUGUAACCCGAAAAGUUAAGGCCCAGUUUUAGUUUUUCUGUUUCCAUCGAAAUUGUGUGUGUAUCCGGGCUGCCUGAUUUCCGAUUCCCCGAUACAGAGACGAUGCCGACGGAUUCGAAAAUGGCCAAGUUUCUUCAAUCCUAUGGUAAUUUCUUCGUUUCGUCUUCUUAGGCGGCCAGAUGAUCUCUUUUUCUUUUUUUAUAUAACUGAAACUUUCGAUUGGUGGGAGCAGGAUAUGAUUUGAUUCUGGGAUCUGUAGCUGCAAUCUAUGUGGUCAUGGCACCAUAUACUAAGGUGGAAGAGAGCUUCAACGUUCAGGUAGGUUUUCAAAGUAUUUAGAGUCACACUCUUUCUCCGUUUUACUGAAACCGUUUCACUCGUCUCAAGUCAAUGCACGACAUUCUUUACCAUCGCCAUCAUUUGGACUCUGUGAGUGACCUCUCUUUUUACUUCUUCUCUGAAGCUUUACUCUUUUUUUUUUUAUCUCUAGAGUGAUGUCAAUUUUUACCGACUUCUGUCUUUUUAUUUUUUUCCUAUCAGUAUGAUCAUUUGGAGUUCCCCGGUGUUGUCCCUCGAACUUUUAUUGGUAAGGAGGGCUGUUGAAUUUCGCUCUCUGUUUUUGCAUCACCUGUUGAUGGUUUUUUUUUUAUCAUUAUACAUUAGUGGAUGGUUUUUUUUUUAUUCCACUCUGAUUUGUUCUUGCAGGAGCCUUCAUAGUCUCUGUUUUUGCAUCACCUGUUGUAUCAAUUAUCAGCUGCCUUGGCUUCCCCAAGGUUUAUAGCCUUGUUGCAGGUUUCUCUUCUGUUUCUCCCUCCCUAUAUAAUUCCUUAAUGAAUCGCUAACUAUUUUCCCCUAAACACAGACAAAACCAAUUCACAUCAUAGUUUUAUCAUUUUGUCUUGCAGCUCGUUUGGUGUUGGGCUGCAUCAUAUUGUCCACACUAAGAUUUUUCCGGAUUCAGGUAUGAAGUUCCUUUAGUGCUUCUUUCCAUACCACACUUCUGACUCCCCUAUCUGAUUCUUUGUCCCUUCCCAUGUCCUUGGAAUUGGGAUCUCUUACAUGCAUCUUGUUGGCUGUUUUUCUCCUAUAUACUGCCACUGACCAAAAUCUACUGGUUUGUCAGAUAAAAAAAAAGUUUGGAAAUCAAGUGGAAACUUUCUUUGUACUUUUCACCAGUCUUCAGUUUCAUUUUCUUUUCUACUGCACUCGUCCUCUUCCUAAUAUUCUAGCUUUGGGAUUAGGUAAUUACUUCUAUUCAUCUUACUCUACUAGUAGUGGUCCUUCAGAUGUCCUAGCAAUCUUUCCCAUGACCCAUCUAGCGUAGGCCUUACUAGGUUCUGCUUAUGUUUUUAAAUUUUGAUUUUGCAGUCAAUCUGGCAUAUGGUAAUUGGUUAAAGGGAAAUUUUUAUCCAGCUUUGAGUUUCCUGGUAUGUAUUAUCUUUGUGGUGACAUAUUUUCUCGAUUAUAGAUUUAGAAAAUCGGUCAUGCUAUCCAGAACUAUGGGGUUUGCUGACAUCUCUGUUAUCCGAUAAUCAGAUUUUUGCCACUGUAAUCUUCAGAUGCGAUACGAUGUUACUGCUUGGGCCUAUUGGUCUUGAACUUUUAUUGGUGAGCUGGUGACGAAUAUUAAAUAGUUUGGGUUCUCAACUUCUGUAUAUGUAUAAUUGGCCGUAUACUUUACCGUUCCAUCUGAUGCGGGUGCUUUAUGUUUGUCAAUGACAGACCAAAUCGAUCUCCUUCUGGAAAGCACUUAAGUAUUGUGUUGGAACCGCUCUGUUGGCCGUAGGUUGGUUAAAAUUCCUCUUCUUUCUGUGAUCUAUUUUGCUUUUUCCCUUCAGACACUAAUUCCCGAGUCUAUUUUCUGUGGUCAUGGAAUAAUCCUUAGCACAGGUCUUACCAUUUUCGUUGACUCUAUCAUGUGGAAGAAGUUUGUCUGGCCAGAAUUUGAAGUUUUCUGGUUUAACUCCAUUCUAAACCGGAGUUCUGAUUGGGGUGUAUCCUUCAAAAAAAUUGUUUCCUCAAUUGAUUUAUUUUUCAUAUGAUGCAUAAUGUUCUAGCAUUUUUCUACUGCCUGAUUAAAGGAUUGCGUUCUGUACAAUGAUAACCGUUUGGAAUUUCCAAUUCAAAGUUUAAUAUUGUGGCACUUGCAUUUGUAUGAAAUGAUGUGUUGUCCUUGAAAAUUAGUUGCUAAACUAGACACAUUCCAUACAUUGGUACUUCACCUCAGCACUCCCACGGUCUUUACUUGUAGCUUAUCCACUUUCAUUGGUAAAUACCAGACUUCCUAACAUCUGUGAUAGUGUUUGUCUUGUUCCUUUCUAGUUAGGAUCGCUAAUUGUAUCUCUACAAAUUUUCUUAUUUGGUUUCUUUUUAUGCAGCUUGGUACUUUAGUUGACAGAAGGGUUCCAUUCUUUAUAGUUCCAGUUUUAUCGUUCGUUAUACUAUACUCUAAACUUCCACACAAGGUAUUCAGAUGGAUUACUUAUCUCAGUAGCCAUCAACGUUUCUUAACCAUUUUCUGACAUCGGCUUACCUAUCUUUCUUGAUUUAUGAAGGAACUCCGAUUUAUCAUUAGUUCAGUGCCAAUGUUCAACUUGUCUGCUGCAGUUGCUGCUAGCAGAAUGUAUGAGUUCUAUCAGAUGUUUGCUAGCUAAGCUUUCAAUCAUAGCUAGGACGUUCUUUGAUUCUGUAUCUUAAGAGCUCUUUGGAGUUUGGAUACACAUAAUUUCUGUAUGCCACUUUAAAUUACUACCAAUGCGGGCCGACCUCUUAAUAUAAUCCGAUUUUGUUGUACAGCUACAAUAAUAGGAAGAAAACGAUUUGGAAACUGGUGAAUAUGGUUAUGCUAGCGUUUUUUGCAAUCAGGUAGAAAUAGUAAACAAUUAUCUUUGCUAUGUAAGAGAAGGAAAGAGAUUUGCUAGUCUACUAAACCUGGUUCUAUAGUGCAGGGUGCACGGUUGUAACAUUCAUGGCAUCUUACUACAAUUAUCCUAGCGGCUAUGCUUUAAAGCGCUUGCAUCAGAUUGGUGAGUGACUUAUUCUGUUAUUGGGGUUUGUUAUUAAUGCAGCAGCAUUGACUUGGCUAUCAAACAAGAAACAUCUGCUGGUCAGCGUUUGUUUUGUGGUGUCUAUCUACCUCUGGUUGAUAAUUUGCCUACAAUAUGAUUAAUUGACUUGGUGCCUUCCAUGGUUCUCAGGCCAUCCUGCAAAUGUAGCUGGGGAAGAGUGGGUUCACAUAGACACUUUUGGUGCGAUGAAUGGAAUAUCUCGCUUUUGUGAAGAUGAUUUUCCGUGGAGGUAUGUUAGCUGUACUACCUCGUUUUAGGGUUGGUAAAAGUAAAGGAAAUAUCAAUGUACAUGGAAAAAAGUUGCCACUCGGAAGCACCCAUUUGUGCGAGAUGAGGCAUCUGUUUGUUUUUCAUGUUCAUUUUCUUGGAUACGAAUAUCACUUUGUUGGAAAAGGGAUCAUUCUACAUUGCCUUUGAAUACAUAGAAGAGGUAUCUGUUUAUCUAUUUAGGAGGAUAUAAAAUUUUGUUGUGCAAUGCAGAUAUUCCAAAGAAGAAGAGAUAGUAGUGGAGGAGUUGCGAAACCGAAAUUUCACGUACCUGGUGAAGUGAGUAUUUCAUCAUAUAGUAGAAAGCAAUUCAUAGUAAAUAAAAAAAGAUACCACUGGUGGUCAACAUGUAACACUGUUGUCAUGCUUGGUGCAGCGAGCAUUCCUCUGUAGAUGGAUACAAGUGCUUAUUUUAUGAAGAAGGCUUUGAGAGACUUGAGCUGCGGCGAGGUUUCCCUCCCAUUGUCUUGGUAAAUCGGUGGGCGUGGGGCUAGUAUUUCAUCAAAAUAGGUGCAUGGAAUGUAAUGUAAUGUAAUGUUGAAUUGCAGGUAAAAAAAGCCAAAGUAUACUUGCACCGGGAGAUGAAGAAGGAAGAUCCUUUUCAUAAGAAAUGGCCUGGAUGUUAGGUAAUCCUACAAAUAGAGACAAUGUUUUGGGUCGAUGUAAUGUAGCAUUCCUCAGAGAGGACAUGAUGUAAUGUAACAACGGAGAUGCUUGUUACUGACUUACUGUAAUGGAUUCAACAAAUUCAUCCAGAAGCAUCAUCGGCCUUUGGGCUUUGAGUUACGCGUCACAAUUGAAUCAAUUGGUCCUUUUAAUUAGUUUUACCAAUAUACCCCUCCGUCUUUUCCCCCUUCUCGUUUAGGAAAAAAAAUCAUUAGCUUCGACUUAUCCGAAACCUAACGAGUAACGACGAGAGAUGCUUCUUCAGGCGGCGGUGCAGAACCGCAAUGUUCCACUGGCUUCUUCCGCCUCCUACUCUCGUCUCCUUCGCUGCAGAUCUCCUGUCGUCUCCGUAGCUGCUCUCUCGAAGAAGACGGCAGCAAUCGUGUGCUCCAUCUCCCAGGUUUAUGGCUACGGCACGGUGGACUACGAGAGAAGGCCGAUUGUCCAGUGGAAUGCCAUCUACAAGAAGAUUUCGCUGAUGGAGAAGCCAGAGCUUGGCGCUGCUUCCGUCUUGAAUCAGUGGGAGAAAGCCGGCCGCAAGCUUACCAAGUGGGAGCUCUGUCGGGUCGUCAAGGAGCUUCGCAAGUACAAGCGUGCCAACCAAGCUCUCGAGGUCCGUGUCCUCCUUGUAUUUGCCCUCGCUUUAUUUUGUAUCUUUAACACUACUUACUUGAUCGCGUAUCGUUUUCAUAGGUGUACGACUGGAUGAACAACAGAGGCGAAAGGUUUCGGUUGUCUGCAAGUGAUGCUGCAAUCCAGCUCGACUUAAUCGGCAAAGUGCGUGGCAUUCCAGACGCCGAAGAGUUCUUCCUCCAGCUCCCUGAGAAUUUUAAGGACCGGAGAGUUUAUGGUUCCCUCCUCAAUGCCUAUGUGAGGGCCAAGUCGAGAGAAAAGGCUGAAGCCCUGCUCAACACCAUGAGGGACAAAGGUUACGCCCUGCACCCGCUUCCCUUCAACGUCAUGAUGACUCUCUACAUGAACCUCAGGGAGUAUGACAAAGUCGACGCUAUGGUCUUCGAGAUGAAGCAGAAAGAUAUACGUCUCGACAUUUACUCCUACAACAUCUGGCUCUCCUCUUGCGGCUCCUUAGGAUCAGUUGAGAAAAUGGAACUAGUGUAUCAGCAGAUGAAAUCGGAUGUUUCCAUUUAUCCCAACUGGACCACGUUUAGCACAAUGGCCACAAUGUACAUAAAGAUGGGUGAAACUGAGAAAGCCGAAGAUGCACUGAGGAAGGUUGAAGCAAGGAUUACUGGUCGUAAUCGCAUUCCGUAUCACUACCUCUUGAGUUUGUAUGGCAGCCUUGGUAACAAGAAAGAGCUGUACCGAGUCUGGCACGUCUACAAAUCUGUUGUCCCGAGCAUUCCCAAUUUGGGUUACCAUGCCUUGGUCUCGUCGCUGGUGAGGAUGGGAGACAUUGAAGGGGCCGAGAAGGUAUAUGAGGAAUGGCUUCCAGUCAAGUCUUCUUAUGACCCCAGGAUACCAAAUCUUCUGAUGAAUGCGUAUGUCAAAAACGACCAACUAGAGACAGCUGAGGGGUUGUUCGACCACAUGGUUGAAAUGGGAGGAAAACCAAGUUCAAGUACGUGGGAGAUUCUAGCUGUUGGUCAUACCAGAAAGAGGUGUAUUUCAGAGGCUUUGACUUGUCUUAGAAAUGCUUUUUCGGCUGAAGGGUCCAGCAAUUGGAGGCCCAAGGUGUUGAUGCUGUCUGGUUUCUUCAAGCUCUGUGAAGAGGAAUCGGAUGUUACCAGUAAAGAGGCCGUUUUGGAAUUGUUAAGGCAGUCGGGGGAUCUUGAAGACAAAUCUUACCUAGCUCUUAUUGAUGUGGACGAAAACAGAACAGUAAACAACAGUGAAAUCGAUGCCCAUGAGACCGAUGCGCUUCUAACACAGCUACAAGAUGAUUUGUAAUCUGAUAGUCCUAGAUCUUUGCUUUAAAAAACGAAUCUUGUAACCGGAGUCAACUGAGGAAAUGCGAAAUAUGUAUAAUGUACACAAGAGACUGCCUAGUGAAACAUGAAUGUAAGAGCUGUGUCCCUUUUUGUGACAGCUAUUUGGAAUUAGUGUUGCUUAGGGAACUGGAUUAGCCUUUGUUCUCUUGUUUGAUUGUUGUUACUUGUUAAGACUAAUAUUGGAGAGGUUAGGUUGUGCUCUUUUAUUUUGGGCCGGACGGAUAAAAGGCCCGAUAUUGAAUAUAUAAGUCUGAGAGUCUCAAAGGCCCAUCUCCAUUAAGAUAUCUUCGCGGAAUCGGUUGUGAGAGAGAGAGACGGUGAUCGGGAAAUGUCGACGAAAGGCGCGGCGGCGGCGUACCCUAGCGCGGCUCGGAUAUCUGAUUCUCCAUGUUAUCUUCAGUACUCUGCUUCUCUCAAAUGUGAGUCAUGCUCCUGAUCUCACCCUUUGUGAUUGUUUCUUCGAGGAUAGGAUUUGACAUGUUAUCUUCAGUACUGUCAAGUUCCAUAACGAAUUAGCAUUGAUUAGAUCUCAUCUAUUUCAUUAUGCUUCCUCAAGGUGAUUAGAUUAGUGGGUUGAAUCCCAUGUCAGUGAUUCGAUUUAGGUCCCAUCAAUUGAUAACGUCGGGUUUGAUUCCUGAUUGUUUAUGUGUUUCCGUUUUCAUUAGUUAUGCCUCUUAGCUUGACCCCUUGAUUUCUUAUCAGGUCUUGAAGAAUUUGGAUCAGACAAGAGUAAAUGCCAGGAUCAUUUUGAUGUGUACAAGGAAUGCAAGAAGAAAGAGGUUGUUGUUGUGAAUGAAUAUUUAGGCUUUUGGCGUUUCCAACUUCUUUGCUGCUUUACCUAUGUGUUAUUUUGUUUCUCAGAGGGAAGCUCGACUGGAACGCAAUAAGACACGGUCGUUGUUCUCGUGAAUGCAGAUCCUCGAAUACCAAUGAUGUCUCAGAACAUCACCUAGCUAGUAGUAUCCUGUUGUUUCAUUUGCAAUGGCUGUGUUUGUAUGAUCUAUCUAAGUAAACAAGUGGAAAGUGUUUGUUAAUGUUACUUUUUACUCCCCAUUGGUGAAUCAUGGUGUAUACCUGUUAAACUUUGAGAGCAAGUGGUUAUUUAUUUAGUUAGAGAGUUAGAGCUUCUCCACCACCAUAUUGAAUAAGAAGAUCUUUCUCUCAUUCUUUUACUUUACUCUGGCGUCUGAAACAGAUCCAGGGAUUCCAGUAGUGAAUUGGGCUUAAAAACUGUUAUAUGGGCUUUCGAAAGUAAAAGGUUCGGUGAGCUGCCAAAGAAAAGUCAGAUGCCUUUAAUCGCAUUUGACGACGAUUCUUUACGUGCGCCAUUGACUGCAUCGUCGUCUUCCUCACGCGAUUUGGUAAUCCGAUUCGUCUUCAUCUGAUUCCCUCCCUUCCGAGAAUAAUAAUGUACCCGCCACCUCCCUCAAGCAUCUACGCUCCUCCGAUGCUGGUGAAUUGCUCCGGUUGCCGGACGCCUCUCCAGCUCCCAUCCGGCGCCCGAUCUAUUCGCUGCGCUCUCUGCCAGGCUGUUACUCAUAUCGCCGACCCUCGCACCGCCCCUCCUCCGCAACCUUCCUCCGCCCCUUCUCCGCCUCCCCAAAUCCACGCGCCUCCCGGUCAGCUGCCUCACCCCCAUGGCAGGAAGAGGGCCGUGAUCUGUGGCAUCUCGUAUCGUUUCUCUCGCCACGAGCUCAAAGGCUGCAUCAACGACGCCAAGUGCAUGCGUCACCUUCUCAUCAACAAAUUCAAAUUCUCCCCAGAUUCAAUUCUCAUGCUUACCGGUACAGAGUAUUUCUAUCUUUUCAAAUGCCUAUGUUUGCUACUAUACUACUAUUCCUUGGAUUUUGAAUACAAUUUUCCUUGGCCUCUUCAAUCUGAUAAACACACAUUCCAAGUUACCAUUUCGAACCACUUUGAUAAAAAUGUGUUGCAUUCCAUAGCUGACUAACUAAUUGUUCAUCAUGGAUGGUUUUCAUUCUCAGAGGAAGAAACUGAUCCAUAUCGUAUCCCGACCAAGCAAAACAUGAGGAUGGCAUUGUAUUGGCUCGUACAGGGAUGCACAGCAGGCGACUCACUUGUCUUCCACUACUCUGGUCAUGGUUCGCGUCAAAGAAACUACAACGGUGAUGAAGUUGAUGGCUAUGAUGAAACACUCUGUCCUCUGGAUUUUGAAACUCAGGGGAUGAUUGUAGACGAUGAGAUCAACGCAACCAUUGUACGCCCUCUUCCACAUGGUGUCAAGCUCCAUUCAAUUAUCGAUGCUUGCCAUAGUGGUACCGUUCUGGAUUUACCCUUCCUAUGCAGAAUGAACAGGUUAUUAGUCCCUCAACCGCUUCUAAAAGGGAUGUUGCUUACCUCUCUCGUUAUAUUUAACAUACAUCCAUUUUUUUUUUUAAUUGAAACAGAGCUGGGCAGUAUGUGUGGGAGGAUCAUCGGCCUAGGUCAGGUUUGUGGAAAGGAACUGCUGGUGGAGAAGCCAUUUCAAUUAGUGGAUGUGAUGAUGAUCAGACUUCGGCCGACACAUCAGUAAGUAGAACGACUCUAAUCAUACGUCUUGCUGUUGUAGUUGGUUCCUCCUCUCAUGAUUAAAACACAUACACAGGCGCUGUCGAAGAUCACGUCUACGGGUGCUAUGACUUUCUGUUUUAUUCAAGCAAUUGAACGCAGCGCACAAGGCACAACCUAUGGAAGCCUUCUGAAUUCUAUGCGCACCACAAUAAGGAAUACAGGGAAUGAUGGUGGUGGUAGUGGUGGAGUUGUGACGACUGUGCUGAGCAUGCUUCUGACAGGGGGAAGUGCGAUUGGGGGAUUAAGACAGGUAAAAUUCUUUCUUGCUCUCUUGUGUUGAUACAGAUCGAUAAAUGUUUUCUUAAAUCUGUUUUUUGACAGGAGCCUCAACUGACUGCUUGCCAAACAUUCGAUGUCUAUGCAAAGCCUUUCACUCUCUAGUAAAGGACAAGUCACUUUUUAUGUAUAGCGAGUGUGAUUUGAGAAUCCGUCCAUAUAACCACCUUUUGUUUCUUAUUUUUAUUUUUCUUUCAAAAGAAUAAAGGAAAACAUUGAUUUGGUGAUUCGAUAACAAAAUGUGCCAUCUAUUCUUUAGUCUUUACAAACAAGCAGCAAAUGGUUUGCCUUUCAGAAUCAAAAUUUAAGGUGUUUCUCGAAUAGACAGAAGGAAGAGAAGAGAAGUCCCAGAAAGCUGUUCAGAAGGCGCAUACAAAUCAUGUGUGCGUUGCUGCUGCAAGGAAAAGCACUUCCGCUGUAGCAGCCUGUUCUUUGUUUGAUACCCCGGCCGUUAUCUUCCAGUACAAAGGAGGAGUUUUUCACACCAUCGCUAAAGAGAAGACACCAAAAGAAGGUACCUUUAUGCAACCUAGCCAUUCCCACUCCAACCUCGGUAUGCGACCUGUUUCUGAGCACCGACAACGCACUGCUAUCUCUAAAGAGAAUGUCUGAGAAAGCGACUUCUGGUGCUGCAUACUUAGAGCUGCAGCCGAGGAUAUGGCCAGUUAUGGUACCAAAAGUGGGGAGUUCUACACCACAGUUUGGGGCAAACACCUGAGUGAAGUCGUCUUCAGGGUGUUCACAGCUGAGAGUGUUGUUGACAUUGCAAUUCCCCUCGCAGAGCUCAACAUACUGGAGGGCCAUGCAGCCAAGACCGGGACUCUCAUUUAGUUUGCCUAGUUUCCGAGCUGUUCUGUUCUGGUUCAAGAUGCUCACCAUUUCAUGAGCUGAGUUUCCUGCAACCAUUCUAACUAACACUUAGUCCGCCUAAAACGAAUCAACAUAAUAUAAACUGUCGAAUCUGGUUCUGACUAAAGAAAGCGAACUCGAGAUUAAAUCAGAGGGAGUGGCUGUAAAUUCAAAAUAAAGCCUGGCCAAAUGCUGAACGAGAAAUCCAAGUCUAUAUUCGCAUAUGUUAUGAGGGGAUAAAGCAAGGAGUUACCGUGCAAUUUGGAGCUAGCUAGCACUGAUGAGAGUGACAGAAACAGUAAAAUCAACUCCAAAAUGCUGAUUUCGUUCUUCAUAUCGUGUUUUAUCCUCUGAAUUCCCAGCGUAAUAGCUCGAGCUGGCGGAUUUUCGAAAAAUCGAGAAAAACAAAAAACAGAAAAGGAGAAAGUUUUUGAAAGGAGAUGAGCUUGAUGGAGAUGUUGACUGGUCCCUGAAUAAAUGAAAAAUGUGUUGCAUUAUUUCUAUUAUUGAGAAGAAAAAAACCAGGCAUUUUGGUUAUUGGGCUUUGAUUUGAUGUUGGGCUCUCAACCAUUGAAAUUGAAUGAAGAAAGAAGGAAAGUACGUGACUUGAAUUUCAUUUACUUCAUUAAAUGGGCGGCGUUGGGGCCGGUGGAGGUGGGCCAAUGACAUUGAUGUGUAAACAGAGGUAAAGCCGAAUUUUGGCUAAGGCGAAUCAAUGCCCAUUGGCUCCUCUCCUUACAUAUUUGAAGUUUGAGGUUUCCUUCCUUUUCUUAAAUUAAAUGUUGCUGUAACAUUUCUACUAUUGUAAACCGGGGCUCCACCACCAUGUGCUUCUUCAACACUGUAUCAUCAGAGCCCACAUGGUCAUGCCUCUAUAUAAUACUUUGUAUUAUUAUUAUUCUUAUGUCACAUUAUAAACAAGUACCUCCAAAUUGCACUUCCUUCAAACUUAUUCGACAGUAGACUAGCUCAAGUACCUUUGGAUGGCGUCGAGGCCCGGAGCUCUUACGGAGUGGCCAUGGAGUCCCCUUGGUAGCUUCAAGUACCUCUUGGUGGCCCCGUUGGUGAUGGCGAGCAUGCACUCGUACGUGACGGCUGUGGAUGAGGAGAAAGACCUCAGCAGACUUAUGAUAGUCGUGUUGAUGCUGUGGAGAAUAGUUCACAGCCAGAUAUGGAUCAGCGUGUCUCGCCAGAGGACGGCUAAGGGAACGAACAAGAUCGUGGACAAGCCCAUUGAGUUUGAGCAAGUGGACCGAGAGCGCACUUGGGACGACCAAGUCAUCUUCAACACUCUCCUCAUGUAUCUCGCAAACAUCAAGCUCCCAGGCGCCUCCCACCUUCCCCCAUGGAGGCUAGACGGGGCCAUCCUCAUGGCUCUACUUCACGCUGGUCCCGUCGAGUUUCUCUACUACUGGUUUCACAGAGCUCUCCACCACCAUUUCCUCUACUCUCGCUACCAUUCUCACCACCACUCCUCCAUUGUCACCGAGCCCAUCACGUGUACGUACCUUUAUCCACCAUUUGCUUCUAUUCUAUAUACAUUCAUUCAUAUCUUUAAUCAAACUUGGCAGCUGUGGUGCACCCCUUCGCCGAGCACAUCGCCUACACACUACUCUUUGCCAUACCUAUGGUAACGGCGUCCCUGUGUGGGAUCCUCUCCAUCGUUUCCAUCAUGGGAUACAUUACUUACAUUGACUUCAUGAACAACAUGGGACAUUGCAACUUCGAGCUUUUCCCUAAGCGUCUCUUCCACCUCUUCCCUCCCCUCAAGUUCCUCUGUUACACCCCCUCGUACGUCGUUUGUAAAAACACUACUAUUUAUUUGGAUUUGAAUAUAUGCAUGCAUUUAUAACAUGGCAUCAAAUAUGUUGAAGGUUUCACUCGCUCCACCACACGCAGUUCCGGACCAACUACUCUCUGUUCAUGCCAAUAUACGACUUCAUCUACGGGACGACUGAUAAUUUGACCGACUCACUAUACGAGAGGUCGUUGGAGAUAGAGGAAGAAUCACCCGACGUCAUCCACCUCACUCACCUCACCACACACAACUCCAUCUACCAAAUGCGCCUUGGUUUCCCGUCCCUCUCCUCUUGCCCCUUGUGGUCUCGACCCCCAUGGUACCUCACAUGCUUCAUGUGGCCCUUCACUCUCCUCUGCUCAUUUGCCCUCACUUCAGCUAUCCCUUUGCGCACCUUUGUCUUUGAGCGAAACCGUCUCCGUGACCUCACCGUUCACUCUCACCUCCUUCCCAAGUUUUCCUUUCACGUAAGCAUUUUACACGCAUGCAUAUGCACUUUCCCUCUCUCUCGCUCUCUUGACACAAACGGGUUUACUUAUUAUGUUGUACUUCACACCACUAUUUUCCAAACUUUCACACACAAAAAAAACAUUGAUUCUCACUUAACUUGUACGUACUACGUAGGAAGGACAUAACCUUUUAUACAAAAAGAAAAUUAAAACAACCUAAAAAUGAACAAUGAACAUUUUCUUGUGGGUAUACCUUUUGUAAGUUGCAUCUAAAGUUUAUUAAUAAUUUUGCCUCAUAAACAUGCGGCGGUAGUAUAAAUCACAGCGCCACCAUGAGUCCAUCAACACUAUCAUAGAGGAAGCUAUCCUUGAAGCAGAUGAAAAGGGUGUGAAAGUAAUGAGUCUUGGCCUGAUGAACAAUGUAAGUUUAUUUACUUCAAAUCCCCCUAAAUAUAUAUGAAUCACUAUUGGAUAAGUACUGUAACUAAUUACACACGCUGGCAAAAGAAAAAAGUAACUAAUCAACACACAAUUAAUUAAUGAGAGGGAGGAACUAAACGGGUCUGGAGAAAUGUACGUGCAAAAGUAUCCGAAGUUGAAGAUAAGACUAGUGGACGGGAGCAGCAUGGCAGCUACGGUGGUUAUCAACAAUAUUCCAAAGGAAGCCACGGAAAUUGUCUUUAGAGGAAAUCUCACAAAGGUGGCUUCGGCUGUUGUCUUUGCUCUGUGCCAAAAGGGCGUCAAGGUUUGUGAAUAUAUGAGGGAAUUGGAAUAUAUAUACUCAGCUUCUCAUAUCAAACAAAAAAUAAUGUAGUAAUGUGUAUAUAUAGGUGGUCGUGUUACGCGAGGAGGAACACAGCAAACUCAUCAAAUCUGGGGUUGACAAGAAUCUGGUACUGUCUACAAGCAAUAGUUAUUACUCCCCAAAGGUGUGGUUGGUGGGGGAUGGAAUAGAGAACGAAGAGCAGAUGAAAGCAAAAGAAGGAACCCUCUUUGUUCCCUUUUCUCACUUUCCGCCCAACAAACUCCGCAAGGACUGUUUCUACCAGUCCACUCCAGCUAUGCGUGUUCCCAAGUCUGCCCAAAACAUCGACUCCUGUGAGGUACAUCUUUGAAUUCUUAUAGAUAUAUCUGUAACUUUUAUAUUAUAUAAGCUGAUAGAUGUGUUCAUCUAUAAUGAAUGAAUGGUUGUUAUAUAUAUAUAGAACUGGCUGGGGAGGAGGGUGAUGAGUGCAUGGAAAAUAGGAGGUAUAGUGCAUGCACUUGAGGGUUGGGAGGAGCAUGACUGCGGCAACACUUGCAACGUCCUCCGUCUCCACGCCAUAUGGGAAGCUGCUCUUCGCCAUGAUUUCCAACCUCUCCCACCAUCUCCUCUAUGAGCUUUUUUCAUAUUCAUACAUCUAUGUCCCCUUUCUUGAUUAUAUCUACUUCCCUUCCAUCAUUGUUUGCUGUUUACUAUGUUUUUCUAUCGACAAUAUAUAAGUACCCUUGUUACCCUUGGUGCCACGUGCUUCAUAUAUGUUAGAAAGGGCAAAAAAAUUCGUCGUAUGAUAUGCUUAGUUAAAUUUUAUAAAACUCAAUAAAAAUCUUCAGAAACAGUGCUAUGAUCAUUACAUCUUAACUAAGUGAUAUAUAUCUGCGUGCCUAUUUAACAAAAUAAACAAAAAAACAAAACAAAAUAUAUUUGGGUGCAUCAUCAAAUCAAAGUAGUUGCAAAAACUGGACGAGGUUUUUACUUAAAUGGUCCUUACCCCGCAUGGUCCACUUGCUACCUAAUUAAGGAUUGGUAGGGUGCGUAUACGUAUAUAAAUUGUGGCGGUGGGAGAUGGAGUUACUAAAAACGAAACGUACAAGUAUUAUUCAUAGCUCUCGUAUAAGGGGUUAGUCCUUAGAUCUAGAUAUUUUCACUUUUCUUUCAUUUAUGUCGGAGCAACAGACACUAGCUGGCGCUUCAACGUGCAUGAUCUUGAUUGGCUAGUAAAUUCCAAGCAUCAAUACCUAACACAUGCCCAACUUGGUUCAUUAGUAUUCUUUCAUUGGUAAAAUACCCUUACCUUUCAAUAAUAUCCAGAAAUAAAUAUAUGAAGCCAUCCAUCAACCGGUGCAUUUCCUCAAGGCAUGGAUAUGAUAUCAGAACAUCGAUGAAGGUGGGAGGGGGUAAUUAGCUGAGUGUCAUAAAUGAGGAUCCAUGUGGAGAUCAUCGAAUGGUAGUAGUACAUGUUUGGUCUUAGCUGGCCCCACCACAAGGAAUUGGACUGGUGGGAAGAUAGGGGUGGUUACGUCAUUCCACAUAUCUACCAAUUAAGGAGUUUAAUAUAAACCUUGCUAUAUAAUGUACCUUGGCUCACAAGAGUUGAAGAGACACAGUGACGACACAAACAUAUUACAUUCGACGGUAUAAUGGCCACAAAACCAGGAGUCCUCACCGAUUGGCCUUGGACACCCCUCGGAAGUUUCAAGGUGCACUCUGUUUUCUUGUCCUUUAAAUUUAAAAAAACGCGUGCUUAUGAUCGAAUCCCGUUACGUUACUGAUAUAUAUGUUUUUCUUGACAUUGAAACAAUACAAAAGUACAUCGUAAUAGCACCAUGGGCUGUCCAUAGCACAUACAGGUUUGUGACAGAUGAUCCAGAGAAGAGGGAUCUCGGGUACUUCCUUGUGUUCCCAUUCUUGCUCUUCAGAAUUCUGCACAACCAGGUUUGGAUCUCUCUGUCCCGUUACUAUACGUCCUCGGGAAAGAGACGCAUCGUCGACAAGGGAAUCGACUUCAAUCAGGUCGACAGGGAGACCAACUGGUGCGCUUUUCUAAAUUUUUAACUACCUGCGUGCCUCGUGAGUAUAUGUAAUCAACGUAACUAAUGAAAUCCUGAUAUAUGCGCAGGGAUGACCAAAUAUUGUUCAACGGAGUGCUGUUCUAUAUAGGCAUCAACCUAUUGCCGGAGGCCAAACAACUUCCCUGGUGGAGAACUGACGGAGUGUUGAUGGCAGCGCUUAUUCACACCGGACCGGUGGAGUUCCUCUAUUAUUGGCUCCACAAAGCUCUCCACCAUCACUUUCUUUAUUCCCGCUACCAUUCCCACCACCACUCCUCUAUCGUCACUGAGCCCAUCACUUGUAACUAUUGUUUCUUACCUUGAUUUUUACGCUGCCUAUAUUUCCGUUUUUCUUUUUAUAAUUAUUAUACGUAAAAUAUACAUCGUUCACGUCCUAACUAGUAGCUUUUAUCUGUAUAUAAUGGGAUUUGAUCAAAUGUAUGCAGCGGUGAUACAUCCGUUUGCGGAGCACAUAGCAUACUUCAUCCUCUUCGCGAUACCACUACUUACCACGUUGCUAACAAAAACGGCGUCAAUAAUUUCGUUCGCCGGAUACAUAAUCUACAUAGACUUCAUGAACAACAUGGGACACUGCAACUUCGAGCUAAUCCCUAAGCGCCUUUUCCACCUCUUUCCUCCCCUCAAGUUCCUCUGUUACACCCCCUCGUAAGUCCUUAAUUAACAACUCCUCUUCUGUUUCAUACACUACCAAUUUGGCGUAGUAAAAGCAUUUACAAGAAACCAUUCUUGAUGAUCUGAUACAAAUACCUAGUUAGAUCAUAUUAAUUAAUCCUCUUAUGGUCAUCAUAAAAUCUAAGCAAAUGAUAAAUCAUACUAAUACAGGGGAUAUAUGCUAUUAUAAUAGAAUUCCAUACACGUACUCCAUUCCUGUAUAAAAUAAAGGUGACGUGAUACAGUUGUAUGCUUAAUAUGAUCGUCAACUACUGAAUCCCUGGACCACAACAGAAAAAAAAACAAUUAUUUAAUAUAUCUUACAUGGUUCAACUUAUCGGCACAUAAUCCAAUUUCCCACAACUUUACGCAUUGAUAGCAUCUUUAACCAAACAUCCUUUGAGAACUAUUUUAAAUAUCAAAUUCAUUAGUCGAUAUGUAGCAGGUGGUCCCUCUAAACGCUCAAGUUAUAUUAAACCUUCUGGAUUCAUAUUUACUUUUAAAUAUUUGUGACUUUUUUUCCUUCGGUAUUAAUUUAGCGCAAUGUGAAAGCAAAAUUUAAUAGUUAAAAUACAUUAAAGUUUGGAUAAUAAAUGGAGCAUGAGAAUUGCAGAUACCACUCGCUGCACCACACGCAGUUCCGGACCAACUACUCCCUCUUCAUGCCCUUGUAUGACUACAUCUACGGCACAAUGGAUGAAAGCACGGAUACGUUGUACGAGAAAACUCUAGAAAGAGGAGAUGAUAUAGUGGACGUGGUGCACUUAACUCACCUGACGACGCCAGAAUCCAUAUACCAUUUGCGCAUUGGCUUGGCCUCAUUUGCCUCCUACCCCUUCGCUUAUAGAUGGUUCAUGCGCCUUUUGUGGCCUUUCACCUCUCUCUCCAUGAUAUUCACGCUCUUCUACGCCCGCCUCUUUGUCGCUGAGAGAAACUCCUUCAACAAGCUCAACUUGCAGUCUUGGGUGAUACCUAGAUAUAAUCUACAGGUCCUCAUCAUCAUCAUCAUCAUCAUCAUAUAUAUAGGCUGGUUAACUUGCUGAUGCAUAUAUAUUAAUGGUGAUAUAUAUAUGAUGCAUGCAGUACUUGUUAAAAUGGAGGAAAGAAGCGAUCAAUAACAUGAUUGAGAAAGCGAUACUGGAGGCAGAUAAGAAAGGAGUGAAGGUGCUUAGUCUGGGUCUCAUGAACCAAGUAAAGAAACUAUCUCUGACUGUUUUGGUUUUAUAUUGGGUAGAUGCCGUACGUACUACGUAGUGUAUGUUAAAGCUUUAAUUUGAUGAACUGAAACAGGGGGAGGAGCUUAACAGGAACGGAGAGGUGUAUAUCCACAACCAUCCAGAUAUGAAAGUGAGACUGGUCGACGGCAGUAGAUUAGCAGCAGCUGUUGUGAUCAACAGUGUACCCAAAGCAACUACAAGCGUCGUGAUGACAGGCAAUCUCACUAAGGUUGCCUACACCAUCGCCUCUGCUCUCUGCCAGAGAGGCGUUCAGGUCCUUUGUUUUCCUUUUGCUCCUAUGUUGUGAUAUCAAAUUGAUGAUCUCUAGGAGAAAAAUAAAAUCCAAGCUUUAUCUACAUGUAUUUAUGCUCAUGACUCGUAACAUUUUCAUGUGAAUGUCAUCCGCAGGUCUCCACUCUGCGCCUAGACGAGUAUGAGAAAAUAAGAUCAUGCGUUCCACAAGAAUGCAGAGACCAUUUGGUCUAUUUAACCUCUGAAGCACUCUCAUCAAACAAGGUAAUUCAGUAUACAAAAGAAGCACAAUUAAUCAAAGAAUCAGAAGGAAAAUAUUCAAAGAGCUUAUAUAAAGAAAACUAAUGAAGGGAUUUUGGGUGAAGGUAUGGCUGGUGGGAGAAGGAACAACAAGAGAAGAGCAGGAAAAAGCCACAAAAGGGACAUUGUUUAUACCAUUCUCACAGUUCCCCCUCAAGCAGUUACGUAGAGAUUGUAUCUAUCAUACCACACCAGCAUUGAUAGUUCCAAAAUCUCUGGUGAAUGUCCACUCCUGUGAGGUAAGCAUUCAAAGCUACCCAAUCCAACUAAUUUAUUAGAAGAGGUCCUUAUUAUAAAAAAAACAUCUGCAGAACUGGUUACCGAGAAAGGCGAUGAGUGCAACUAGAGUGGCCGGCAUAUUGCACGCCUUAGAAGGAUGGGAAAUGCAUGAGUGUGGCACAUCCCUUCUUCUCUCGGAUUUGGACCAAGUAUGGGAAGCCUGUCUCAGCCACGGCUUCCAGCCUCUCCUCCUUCCACAUCAUUAAAACUCCAACCUUGGAAGAUUUUAGGAGAAUGAGAGCGACACGCUCUGUGCUUCUUUUCCUUAUGAUCCAGCUCUUCCACGCACAAAUGAACUAUGAAACAUAUAUAAAGCGCACACAUAUAUUUAUGCAUAUCAAGCUUUUGGUGAUUAUGGUAUUGAUAGAGUCAAAUUAAGCUCGGUGACUAUGGUAUUAAUAAGAGUACUAUUUCCUUUUCUCUUUGUGAACUAAGAAACAUAUAUAUAUAAAGCAAACAUGUUCCAGAAUAUCUAAGUUUUUCUUCUCCCACUCCUAGACUUUAUAGUUCUACAAAAUUUAAGUAGCAUAGAACAUAGCAUUUGGAUCGCUUGAUGCUAUUACUAGGACAAUUCAAAUGGUCUCUCAUCACUUAUAGGAGAAACACCUAUCUUAUUCAAAUCAUUUGGUGGUCAAUAACCGUUUUGAAUACAUUGAUUGGUGUUAGUUAGUAGUUAGUUCUCAUACACAGUGGCUAGAGCCGGGCAAAACGGAUACCACCACCGUUUUUUAAAUUAUUUAUUGGUUUUCUUAAAUAAACUAACAAAUAAUUAAAUUAGUGAUAAUGUACUAUUUAAAAAAUAAUUAUGUAAAUAAAAAUAUGAAGUUACGAAUAAAUUCAUGAAAUUUAAAAAUUUAACACUUAUCAAAAACAAAACCUAAUAGAAAUAUAAAAAUAUAAUUUUAAAAACAAUAAAAACAAGUGUUAAAAUUAAAAAAAUGUGUAAACCGUAUUGAACCUAAGACACCUUUUUGGGGUUUGGAUGUUAUGUCCAAUUAAGUUACACAAAAUUUAAAAAAUUAACAUUUAUCAAAAACGAAACUUUAUAAUUUUUAAUAGUAAUAUAAAAAUAGAAUUUUAAAAACAUUUUUUAAUAAAUAAAAACAAGUGUUAAAAAUUUAAAUUAUGAGUAUUGAACCUAGGACAACUCUUUGUGAAAUCGUUAAUGACCACGGUUAAAUGGCAGGAUCAAAAAUCCGAUUAGAUUUCACAACGUCAUAUUCAUUUAGUAUUUAUAAAACCUUCUAAAAAAAAAUUAAGAAAAGAGUUGAAAAACUUUUAAGAAAAAAUAAAAUAAAAAUAAAUGCUAAAUAUACAUAAAGAUGUGAAAAACAUGUUGGACUUGUGAAAUCGCUAAUGGCCACGGUUAAAUGGCGGGAUCCAAAAUCCGGUGAGAUUUCACAACGUCAUAUUAAUUUAGUGUUUGUAAAUACUUUUUAAAAAAUAAAAAAUAAAGAGUUGAAAACCUUUUAAGAAAAUAAAAUAAAAAUUAAAUUAUAAAUAUACAUGAAGAUGAGAAAAUAUUUUGGAUUUGUGGAAUCGCUAAUGACCACGGUUAAAUGGCGGGAUCCAAAAUCCGGUUAGAUUUCACAACAUCAUAUUAAUUUAACAUUUAUAAAACCUUUUAAAAUAAAAUAAAAUAAAAAAGUUGGAAACCUUUUAAGAAAAUAAAUGCUACAUAUACAUGAAGAUAUGAAAAACAUGUUGGACUUGUGGAAUCGCUAAUGACCACAGUUAAAUGGCGGGAUCCAAAAUCCGGUUAGAUUUCACAACGUCAUAUUAAUUUAGUAUUUAUAAAACCUUUUAAAAAUAAAAAAUAAAAAGAUAACAAAAAUCGAAAGAGUUGAAUACCUUUUAAGAAAAUAAAAUAAAAAAUAAAUGCUAAAUAUAUAUGAAAAUGUGAAAAAACAUGUUGGAUUUGUGGAAUCGCUAAUGACCACGGCUGAAUGGCGGGAUCCAAAAUCCGAUUAGAUUUCACAACGUCAUAUUAAUUUAAUAUUUAUAAAACCUUUUUUAAAAAAAAAAAAUUGAAAGAGUUGAAAACCUUUUAAGAAAAAAAAUAAAAAAAAUAAAUGCUAAAUAUAUAUGAAGAUGUGAAAAACAUGUUGGAUUUAUGGAAUCGCUAAUGACCACGGUUCAAUGGCGGGAUCCAAAAUCCGGUUAGAUUUCACAACGUCAUAUUAAUUUAGUAUUUGUAAAACCUUUUGAAAAUAAAAUAAAAAAAAAAAGACAAAAAAAAUAAAGAAUUAAAAACCUUUUAAGAAAAUAAAAUAAAAAAUAAAUGCUAAAUAUACAUGAAGAUGUGAAAAACAUGUUGGAUUUGUGGAAUUGCUAAUGACCAUGGUUAAAUGGCGGGAUCCAAAAUCCGAUUAGAUUUUAUAACGUCAUAUUAAUUUAGUAUUUAUAAAAACCUUAAAAAUUAUUUAUUUAAAUGUUUUAGUGAAAGUUUUAAACUAAUUAGUUUUAGUUUUGGUUAAAACAAUUUUUUAAAGAAAGGAAGAAAAAAAAGUAGAAUGAAGAAAGUAAAUACCUUAUUGGAUUUGGUUGUAAAGAAGGCCUCAUACAGCAAAGCCCAUUCCAAAAUCCUAGUGUAGCUCUGUCGUGACAUCAUCCACCACUUUUAGGUCAAUUUUGUAAGUAAAUUACUCAUACAAAUAAAUUAAAAAAGGAAAUUGAUCACAUCAAUAUUAAAAAGUGACCGUUACAAAUAAAUUAAAAAAGGAACUACAUAGAAACAGUAUCCCGAUAAUUGCUUUCAUCAUAACAGAUUCUCACACCUUUGCAAUUGUGGCUUUAAGAGAUUCCAAAUUGUUGAUUUGAGUUUGAAAUAUAAUUUUAAAAUAUCAAUAAAGAAGUAAAGAAAGUAUUAUACCUGAUUGGACCUCGUUUGGGCCGUCACAGGAAAAGCCCAUUACCAAAUUCUUCGUCACUGCUCUGUUCUGUAGUUGAUGACAUCGAUGAAACUCAAACUAUCGCACUCGUCGUCAUUACCAAGUCCACUGAACAUGAUCUGUUCCAUCGCCAAGUUAUUCUUCGCUGCCACUGAACUGGUCGUCGUCUUCACUAAUCUCAUGAGAACGGUGAAAUUAGGGUAGACCCGAUUGACAGAAAACAGAGGAUGGUGAUCAAUCACGAAACGAGAUGAAAUCGUUUCAUAAAUCAUCGGCAUACUCUGAAUGGGUCAUCUCUUUCACGCUCUGGAUUCUUUUGUUUUCCUUUUGAAGAAGAAGAUGAAUGGAGAAUUAUGAUUUCACAAGGGAGAAAGAGUAUUUAUAAAACAAACGUUUUCAAUAGAAAAAUGAAAUUUUGGAUUGUUUCCUUUUUUUACAACGGUGUUAAGAAAAAAGGAAAUUUCAGUUAUACUGCAAAAAAUAAUGAAAAUUUGCUCACAACGGUCAUAUUUGUUAUUGUGCAUAAUAUUAUUUGAGUUUUAAUGGGUAACAAUUUAUCAAGAAAAUUAUUUGGGUUUUAGUUCGUAACGGUCAUAUUUGUUAUUUGUGCAAAAAAAUUAUCUUAGUUCACAACAAUUAAUCUAGAUAAAUCAUUUGAGUUUUCUUAUUUGUUAAAACAGAGAAUGCGCCGUUGAGAUAGAGAGGAGCAAAGUCGGGAUCGUGUGUAGUUACUUAUCUUUGGUUACUUUGUAAAAACACAAUUACAAACUCAAAACUGUUACAAAAAACAACAACUUUUCACUCAUUAAAGAACACUAACAAUCAUCAUCCAUGAUACAAAACAGAACAGAGCAUUCUUUAAUCAUCAUCCCGGAAGCUUUAGAUCUGUGUCUCGCUUCAGACCAUACCCUUCACCACCCCCAGGUUAUUUAAUUUACUUACAAAAAGUUCAUACUUUAACUUUGUAAACCAAAAAUGUUUUAUUUAUACAUUUUCAGUCUUAAUUAUUUUCUUGGAAAAAUUAUCUAUUCAUUUAUUUAUUUUUAAAACAAUAAUUUUGGUUAAUUUUGUUUGGUCUUUAUUACAAGUUGUUCAGAUAAAACUGAAUUACUGUAUUUCCAAUUUGGUUUGAGUUUCAAGAUCACUUUAUUUUUAAGUUUCAUGUGAUUUUAAGUUGAGAAGUUUAUAACCAAAUUUGAAAUAUAUUUGACUAUUUUUAGAUGCUGAAGGAGAACAAGAACAUGGUCGAAGAUUAAGGUGGAGAUUAUUGCAAUGGCUUAGACGAGCUUCUCCCAAUAGUUCACUCUCAGUAUUCUCAUCAAUUCGAUUAUUUUCAUUGGGGUUGUUUCACCGAUCUAACGCAUGUACGCAUAUAAAAUAAUAUUAUGUUUUAAAAGAAAAUAAUAAUCUGGUUAUCAAAACGACUUUUUCAAAUAUAUAAUUUAUUCACAUAUAUAAGUUCAUAUCAUAAUAGUUAUGGUACAAGUUUCCUAAAACUAAAAAAUAAAAACAAAUUUUGGCUUCACAGUCAUUGGAACAAGGUGAAUCCAGCGGUCUCCUUCUCGGAGAAAAUGGCCACGCGGACGGACGAUACACCACAGAAAAGUCCAACGUGAGUUAACUCUAAAGAAAACAUUUUAUUUGCCAAAUAUAACGAAUAAUUAUUUAUUAUUUUCAGAAAAUAUUAUUAUAGUUGUGAUUCUCUGUUUCGCAAGAGUUGGGAGUAGGGAAUGUGAAGUAGUAGUGGUGGCCCAAGUUAUGUUUCCAAACGCCAGUAACGACCAAAUCUAGGCAUGUAGAUUUCAUUGGGUCACGUGGAUGCAUCAAAUUUAACGCGCCGCAUUUACUUUUCAACGAAUGGCACAGUUUCAACUACCUCGAGAAAAAUCCAAAACCAAAAAAGCUAUUUGGAAUCUUUAAAAUCUUUUUACAAAUUUCUUCUAUUAUAGUAUUGCUUUGUUGUACUAUAUUUCACGACCUUUCAUGAAUAUUUUAAAUAUAAAUAGAAGUGGUAGGCGCAUAUCUUUUUAUAUUCAAAAGAUUCAUAUCCAAUGACACAACUAAUCAAUGUUCAACCGACCUUAGUAGCCAAGUUCCGUUAUGGUCAAUACGAGAGGUUGAAGAGUGAUUAAGCUCAAUUAUACCAGAUUUACCACAACGACUAAUAUCCUUCCUUAUCUUCACUUUUGAACUCUACUUUGCAGACAAUAUAUGCUCUCUGUCGUCAAAGCCCAUAAGAUAUCUCACUAAAACGUUCAAACUCACUCUACGUAUAAGAUCAUAUACCACACGUAGACAAAAAUUGAACCUACUCAGGCUGAUCUUUGUUUCAAGUUUUAUUUUUAACAAAUUUAUAAAGAAAAUAUACGACAUGUAUCUUAGUAACCAUUGUGUAGAGAUAUAUCAGAUUGUGAUUUGAAGAGGUGGUCCUGAUGUUUGAAACACAACACUCUCAGCUUUAGGCAAUAGUUUAACUAAGAUGGAUGGUAAUUUUUACAAAUAACAUGCACGUACGAUUUGUUUAACUAUUUCUCGACAACCUAAACCAAAUAGGAUAUAAUAUAUGAUCGUGUUAAUUAAGUAAGAUAAUAUAUAUAUAUAUAUAUAUAUAUAUAUAUAUAUAUGUACCAAAUAACCUAAAAUUUGAUUGUUUUAGGGCUAAUCGGCAGAUUCUCUCAUAACAUCGUUGAGAAAAAAGGACACGGUGAUUAAACAUCAUAAAUUCGGAAUAUUACCUGAUUAGGAGGCAAAAACGUUGGUUGAUACACGUGCAUUACCCAAUCGGAUUUGGAUCCAUUGAUGUUUUCAUACGAUUGGAAAACCAAAACUUGUUUCUCACCAAUUUUAACACCAUUACUAGUUAUCCACUUGCCAAUGAUUGGUGUGUUGGAUACAGUUUCUUUCCAAUAACCCGAAUUCGUUUUCAAUAUUUCUUCGUUAUAUUCAUCACAACUAAAGAAGAACCAUACCAUAGUAUCAGCCCACUCGCUCUUUGAUUUGGCUAUAAUAAUUAUUAAAAAAAAAAACCUAAAUCAGAAAUCAGCCUAUAAUCAAUGAUUGAAUCAGAAAAUCAUGAUCUAGCAUUAAUUGACCAAAACUUUCAUGGCACAUGCCAAGGAUCGUAACUAGAGAUUUUAACGGUGGUAAUGAAAUGAUGAUAUUGCCUUCCUUGAUGCCGAGAUGUUUUAGCAGGAGGUAAUAUUCGAUGAUAACGUCAUCUGUCGGCCGGAAUCUGAAAUCCGCCGGAUAUUUCAUUCUUAUCGAAUAAACCCAUAAAGUUAAAAACAAUAGAGAGCGAUGAAAAAUGCAAAAUAGGGUUUACAAUUUUUAUAUGUAGGUAAUUUAGAAAAACAAAAUUCUUUUUUUUUGGGCAACAUAAAAAAAUUCCUUAAUUCUGAAGAAGAUAUAACGAAUAAGGUACGUAAUUUGAUGUAUAAUAAACGAAAGCAAAGUCUUUGAACGCCGAAACAGAGGAAUUAACAAGAAACAGAAUGAAAGUGAUGUAGAAGAAAAAGAAAGAUUACUAAAAUUACAUGAUAUAGGAUAAUGUAAACAAAUAAACAAUAGUCUAAUGGGUUUUGGAUUUAGCCAUCAACAUGACAACAUGCACGUGUACAUAUAUGAUGUAGACUUGAAAGUCCAAAAAAAGACUCUUGACAUUACUGAAAUGAAGCAUCUUAAUUUGAAAUUUAUUCUUGUUUUCUUUCGUUGAAUGGAAUUUGUUUAUGGGGUUAGGUAGGACUAGAAUAGUACUUCGAGGUUGAUUGAUACUUGAUAGGGUACGUCAAAUAAAAUUUGAGCAUUUGGUUAGCUGUAUGAGCAGAAAUUAUACAACUUUGUCUUCACAAUGGAGCAUACAUACAAGAUGAGAAAGUAACAAAACAAGAUAGACAUUAUUAUGUCAAUGGAUACAAAUUUGUCUUCACAAAUUUACCAGUUUUAUACAUAUCACACAUACAGUAUGGUAAAGUUACAAACCAAGAUAGACAUCAUAGCAUACACUUGUACUGUUGUAAAUAAUUUGGAAAGUAGAAAAGGUGUUAUUGAUCACUUUUAUUGUUAUCAAGUUCUUGAGAUGGAAGAACAUAGGUGAAUUUUCUUGACGAAUUUUUGUAUCAUCCUGUGAAAGAAACCAGCUCUUUUCUUCUUGAUCGUCUCUUGACCCAAUUUAUGCUCACCAAUCUCAGUCCCUUGUGCAUCAUCAUAAGGAUUCUUCUUCUUCUCGGCGGUAUCAAUACUGGUUAUUAGAGCUUGGCUCACCUUGAAUCAUAACAAAGAAACAAAGUCGUUGUAAUGAGUGUUGGCACAAAGUAGCAUCAUUGAUUGUUUGUGUUGUUAGUAGUGAUGGCACAAAGUAGCAUUAAGGAUUGUUUGCCUCAGUGAAAGAUAGAGAGAUAAGAAAGCUCACCUCUUGAGUUAGUGACACUAAGUUGAUUGUUGAGGUAGGAGAUUCUUGCAGGUCUUUGAUCUGGUCUAUGCGAUGAUUUGAGCUACCAAAACUAUCACAAGUGCUCGAAGUUUGAAUAGAGUUCUGUCAAAUGAAUGAAACAAAAACUUGAGCUUUGUAAGGUGAAAUACGAAAACAGAGGAUUAUAAAGGUACAAAAGUAGAAAUUUGCUUACUGUUUUUGGAGUUAGCAAAUCAGAAUCAUUAUCAUCACUGCUAACAUCAUCACUGAAGACACCAGUUAAUGAGUUUGGAGGUCUGUAAUCACUUCGAUUAUCAUGCAUAAACAUGAUACUCUUCUCCUUAGCAUCAUCAAUAUCAUUCAACCAUGUUUCCCAUUCCUCAAUCGGUAUAGCAUCCUCGAUUUGAGCAUCAUCCUCAUCAUUCAUCAGCCAUUUUACCAAUUCCUCGGUCAGUUUAGCAUCCUCGAUUGGAGCUUCUUGCAGCACAUCACCAAACUGACUUGGAUCUUCUCUGUGAAGUGAGGAUCCCUGAAAAAGGGGGAGAACGCAAAAGAAGUCGUUGUCAGAUUUAAAACAGAAAAGAAGUUUUGAGAUGAACCCACCUCAGAAUUGUUGACAAGCUGAGGGAUUAAAGAGUCACGACGACUCUGCUCAAUUCCACUAACACCAGAAGAAGAAGGAGAAGAGGAAGACUUCUCUCUCAUGCCACCAUUAAACAUAACUUUACAGAGUGUGUAUGUCAUCAUCAUCUGCAAAAAUUCGAUAAAAAAACUCAGAAUCGCAGCAAUAGUAAGUAACACAAAAAAAAAACAGAGAGUACCUGGUUAUGAGAGAAACCGUGGUACUCGUGUAUAACCCAAUCGGAUUUGGAUUCCUUACUCGUGUAAAACAUCAAAAUCUUUUUCUCACCGAUCUGUUGGCGAUUACGCAUGAUAGGCUUUGGUCUGCCAGUACUCUUCCAAAACCCAGAUUUCGUUUUUCUCAUCUGCUGAUCACCUCUGCCAUAUUUGUUCUCCUUAGGUCUGAAGAAACACCAAGCCACAUCUUUCAGUUUGAUCCUUGACUGGCCUACCAUACCAAAACGAGAAAACGCUAAAAUCAGAAAGUAGCGGAUGAUUCGAUUGAACAGUGAGAAGGACGACACUCGGUGAUAUGAAUGACUUACAAGGUAACUCCCAAGGAUCGAGUCUACAGACAGGGACUGUGUUAAUGAAUCGAUCGACAUGGCUCGUGUCUCUAUCGGAAUUUUUCGGCCAAAGGUAAUCGACGACGAUCUCCUCGUCGGUCGGACAGAAUCUUAAACCCACAGGAGUUUCCAUUUCUCUGCAGCGAUCAAAAAAGAAGGGAAAAGGAAAAGAUCAAAAAAAUAUGCAUUGGAGAGCUUUCGCCAUGGUUGAUGUUCUUCUGCAACUUAAAAUGAUGGAGAAGAAAGACGUAUAGGGUUUUGUAUUUAUGCGGAAAUUCUCAAAUUCAAAAAAAUAAAAAAAAUAAUACAACAAUAAAAGAGUAAAAAUAUUAAAUAGUCAUGACGGUAUACUUGUCGAAUUCGAUUACGCUAAGACAGGACAUUCAAAGGGUUAAGUUUCGGAAUGGUAAAUACGUGGUGCGUUUGUUUAUCACUUGUCUUAUAAAUUUUGUAAUUAUUUUUUCCAUACGACCAUACCAAUCUUCAAUCCAUGAAAUUGAAAAUAUUCCCCAUAAAUUCUCUUACAUUGUGUGACUUGUUAAAAAAAUAUCAAUCAGAAAAGGAGGGUGGAAAAAGAGGAUUUGCAAGCUGCAAGUUUGCAUAAAUUUAAUCAGAUAGUGACAUAUCUUUUCAUCAUGGGACGGUAGUUUCGCCCAACACGUAACGACGAAAUUACAUUUCUUUCUUGAACUUGUUUGAUGUUUCUCUUUAUUAUAUUUUGUUGGCCCAUUUGGAAAUUAUAUAAUGAUUAACGUUGCCCACAAAAAAAAUAAAUAUAAUGAUUAACGUUAACGUCGAUCGUCCGUUAUCUAUGUAGAAACAGAAACAUAGAUACGAUGACAAAAAGUAUCUCUAUAUGCUAUUAUGCUAAUAGGUAGAGCUGUCAAUUAGACAGGCGGCUCAUGAACUUGCCCAGUCCAAAUGCAUAUGGACGAACUAUAUUCUGGACCAUAAAACAAAUGGUCCAAUUGGGCAUAUAACCAGUUUUGUCCACGAAUAAUAUGAGUUUGACCAUAUGGACAAUGGGCUGCCCAUGGGCAUGAAUUGAGGGAAAAAUACAAUUUCUCCGAUUUUACGAUUUUGACGGAAAAACGUAAUUCUGCAAAUUUCCUCUAAAACGCGAUUUUAUUAUUUUGGCGAGAACACAAUUUUACAGUUUCGACGGGAAAACGCAAUUCUCCGAUUUUACGGUUUUGGCGGGAAAACGCAAUUUUUCUACCAAAAUCGUGAUUUUAUUAUAUUGGCGAAAAACACAAUUUUACAGUUUUGGUGAGAAAACACAAUUCUACGUUUUGGCGAGAAAAAACAAUUUUACGAUUCUACCGUUUUGGCGAAAAAAAACAAUUUCAUAAUUUUUCCGCCAAAAUCGUGAUUUUAUUGUAUUGGUAAGAAAAACACAAUUUUACCGUUUUGUCGGAAAAAUGCAAAAUGCAAAAACAUAAUUCUUUAAAAUCAUGAUUUUUGAUUUAUCAAUAAUAAAAUGGGCUAUACAUGGGCUUGCCCAUAUGGACAUGGUCUUUAUUGGGCAUGGACAUUUUUCGGACCAUUGUCCAUUAUGGACCGUCCAACUUGACCCAUAAAAAGAAUUGUCCCUACGGACACGCCCAAUGGUCCCUGGACGGAUCAUUUGACAGUUAUACUAAUAGGAAGCUUCGUAGAAGCCGUAAGCCGAAAUAAUCUAAAGCCCUUUUAAGAUUUGGGGAUAAAUAUUUAUAUAUAAGGCUAGACAUGGGGAAAAAAAAUUAAAUAUUUAUAGACAUGCAUGCUAUAUACCAGAUUACCAGGUCCAGAAAUAAUCUAAAGAGAGCAUACAAAGUGAAUAUUAAAUUGCAAAAAUGGGGGAAAAUAAAAACAAGAAUAGACAUGCAUGCUAUAUACGCAUAUGCAGAGUGAGCGAUCACUUGAUGAGAAUUUUUUGUAAAACGAUUAUCGCAAUUUGAGCAUCUUUAUUGAUGAAAUACUUAUAGAAAGUUUCUCAAAUAAAAUACUACUAAUAUAUUUAUUUAUUUUUUGUUUUGAGAGUUUUACAUAUAUAGGGUUCUCAUAUAUAGAUUCUCAAUUAUGAACCUUUUGUACUAAAAACUCUACUAUUCUAGAAACUUACCUUUUUUUUAAAAAAAAUGUGUGAAUACUAUGGAUGGAAAUGUCUUUAGUUGCUAUGAAAACUAAUUUGUGUUAUUUAUACGGUUAUACCUAACGUUUCUAGUUAUCACAAAAAUUAAUGGUGUAUUAAUGUAUUUAAUAAAGUAAGUUAAGUUGUUGCACAGAAAAGAAAGUGUAAGUUGGGUAAAUUGUGUGAGCCAAAAAAGAUUGUAAAUUGUGAGUUUGUGACGCUGAAGAGUGAAGACAAUUCAAAAGGUUAUAUCUUAUAUGCGACGGCGUAGGUCAGUUUUGGAAUGGUAAACACGCGGCAAGUUUGGUUAUCAUCAUUUGUCACAAUCAUAUAUAUUUACUCAUAUAACAUACAUACAUUGCUUUAUCGUCAUCUUUGGUUCAUGAAUAAGAAAAAUGUUCUCCCACAAAAUAUCUUUACCCUUUGGUUUAUAUUUUAGUUUUUUUUUUUUUUUUUUUUUUGUCAACCGAUAUAAAUUAAACCUCAAAAGAGCCAAUCCCGAGGGAUAUUGUUUACAUACGUGACAUGAUGCGGUACGGUACGAAUCUUUCGUGCCAACUUAUCCGCUUUUACAUUUGCACUACGAGAAAUUAAAGAUAAAGAGAAAUUUGUGAAUUCUUCCCUAUCACUUUGCAACUCCUCCAAAUACACUGAAAACGCCGGCCAUUCGGUUGGAGAAGACACCAUCUUCACCAAGUCUGAACAGUCUGUAAAGAAAGCUACGUUCUGAUUAUCUGCUCCAAUCAUGCACUUCAUCGCCCAAAGAAGAGCUUCCAUUUCGGUAUGUAGAGGAGAUAGACUUCUACGAACGUUGGCGGCUCCCAUGGUUGGCGACUCUCCAAGAGAUGAUAGACAGAACCAUCCUGUUCCUGAGAACUGGUCACUUGCUUUCCAAGAUCCAUCAAUAAAACACCGAAAGCCAGAAAAAGUUGUAUCUUGUGAUACAUCCCUCACCCGAAUUCGACUAUCUAUAGACAAGGAACCAUGUUUUUCACUAUGGAGCUCGACUUGAGCUUCCUGCCACGAUUGAGCCUCUUUUACCGAUAAGAGCAAUAUUUCCAUUGGAUCUUUAUCCACAUUUUCAAAAACUUUUUCAUUUCUUGCUUUCCAUAUAUACCAAAUUAUCCAUGGGUAAGAAGCCGAAUCGACGCCUGAAGGAAUUCUCCAAAACAAAUGAUCCAAAUUCGUAAAAAUUGAAUUCGAAGGAAAAAUCCUUGGGGCCGUAGGAAUUUGUGAUAGUGCCCAAAUCUGCCUUGCAGGAUGGCAUAGAAAAGGUUUAUAUUUUAGUUUUAAUAUAAAAAAGAGGGGAAAAGAGUAUUUGCAAGUUGCAAGUUUUUAAAAUAUACAUUAAUCAAAAGACUGACAUAUAAUUAUUGCACUUAUCAUGUGACAGUUACGCUGUUAAUCCCACAUUUUUUUUUCUAUUUUUGCUCUGUUAAAUUCGAUAGUUCAUUAUUUAUGUCGAAGCAAACGAUGUAAAAAUGUAAACCACAUAUAAUGAUUUUGUAUAUAGGAAACUUCGUAGGAGGCGUAGAUAAAAGAACUAGACAGCUCCAACCAAAUACUCCUCCUCCUACUUAGUAAUUUUUUUUGCUAAAUACAGCUUAUUAGUUCGUUAUAAGAGUUACCAAGGAGUAGUAAAGCUAAAGUAUUAGCAAGUUGCAAUUUAGGAUUUUCAUUAAUUAAUUGAACAGUGAAGUAGUGGUGGGCCAGGACAUGUUACCAAACACCAACAACGACCAAAUCUAAAAUAUGUGAGCUAAUUGGGCCACGUGGAAGCAUUUUAAUUACACGCGCCGUGCAUACUUUUCAACCAAGGCACAGUUUCAACUUUCAACUAAGGCCAUAAUAUUUUCUGGCCAUAAAAUAUUCUUUCAGAUUUAGAGAAAAUGUUUUUUUUUUUGUUUUUUUUUUAAAUUUUAGAGAAAUGUUUGGUAACAGUUUGCUGAAAUGAUUUUGAUUUGGAUUGGUUGUAUUUAGCCAAAGAAUCUUGUUCAUUAUUUGUUAAUAAAAUAAAAAAUCUCAAAAUGAGGAAGAAAACAAAAAGUUAGCAUCAGUCAAAUGGGGUUUGGACUCAAAGAUAAAAGUGACAAUAUGCUGCACGUAAGAUGUAGACUAAAAGUCUUAUAGAAAACUCUUGACAUUAUUAAAAUCGAAGCAUCUUGAUUUGAUAUUAUCCUUGUUUCCUUUUGUUGAGAACCUGACAUCUUUUGUGGGGAUUAGGUAGGACUAUAGCCUCAAGGUUGAUUGUGAUCAUUUUCAUCUUUUGUCAAAGAAAGUGACCAUUUUAUUAGUUGUAUCGUGUAUGAAUUGAAAAUUAUCCAACUUUCUCUUCUCGGACUUCUCAUCACAAAUUUACCGUUUUUAUAUAUUGGACCAACAUAAAAUAGGGAAAUUUUACACAAAAAAGGAUAGACAUAACAUUUUGGUAGUUGUAUUAAUUGAAUUCAUACAACUUUAUCUUCUCUAACAACUUCGUAUCACAAAUCCACCCUUUUUAUAUAGAGAGAGUACAUACAUGAAGUCACACAAUCUGAUCAAAGUUUACAAAACAAGAUAGACAUAACUUAUAUUUCUACAAAUUUGGAAAAGUACUAAAAGGUGUUCUUGGUCUCAUCUAUUGUUAUCAUGUUCUUGAGAUAGAAUAACAUUGGUGAAUUUUCUUGACUAAUCUGUGUAUCAUCCUGUAAACGAAACUAGCUCUUUUCUUCUUGACAGACUCUUCACCCAAUUUAUGCUCUCGAAUCACAGUCACUUGACCCGGACCUUGGCUCACCUGCAAAAUAUAUUAAAGAACCAACCAUUUAAAUAAUUUCUCUAAUCUGGUCUCAAUGUUGUGAGUGGUGAAAUUAACAAAGUAACAUGAUUAGCAUUUAGAGUUAAAUGAGAUAAUAAAUCUCACCUCUUGAGUUAAUGACACUAGCUGGACUGUUGAGUCAGGAGAAUGUUGAGUUUGGUCUAUCUGAUGAUUUGAGCUAGCAAAACUAGCACAAGUGCUCGAAGUUCCAAUAGAAUUCUGUCAUAUGAAACAAAAACUUUAGCUUUCUGAUGUCAAAUCUGAAAACAGAGGAUUAUCAAGAUGCAGAGUAAAAUUUUGCUUACUGUUUUAGGAGAUAUCAAAUCAGAAUCAUUAUCAUCACUGCUAUCAUCACUGAAGACACCAGUUAACGACUUUAGAGGUGUGUAAUCGCUGCGAUGAUCUUGCAUAAACAUGAUAUUCCUCUGCUCAUCACCAUCAUUAUUCAACCAUGUUUUCCAUUCCUCCUCAAUCGGUGUAGUUGCAUCAUCGAUUUGAGAUUCUCCCUGCACAUUAGCAAAGACACCAGACUGACUUGAAUUCUGUAAUUCUUGGCUGUGAAACGACGAACCCUGAAAAAGGGGAGGAACACUAAUGUCAGAUAUUUCAAAGUUUCUAAAGACAAAACAGAGAAAGUUUGAGAUUCUCCCACCUCAGAUCCUCCAGAACUGUUCACAAGAGGGAUUAAAGAGUGAAUCUGUUCAAUUUCACUACCAGUAGAAGAAGAAGAGAUCUCUGUCUCUUCACCCUUAAACUCAACUUUGCAGACUGUAUACGUCAUCAUCUGUACAAAUAAUCAAAUCAAAACACGAUCACCACCACAAAACACCAGAAUUAGGUCAAUUAACAAGAGAGAUAGAAAAAACCCUAGGAAUCUGGAAUUAGGUCAAUCAACAACAAAAAACCCUAAAAGUUUGGAAUUGAAAAAUUACCUGAUUAGGAAACAAGGACGUAGCGUGAUACUCGUGCAUAACCCAGUCGGUCUUUGAACCAUCUCGAUUCUUAAAAACCAAAACCCUUUUCUCACCGAUCUUCUCACGAUUUCCUCUUUUGCGCAUGACAGUCAUUGUUUUUCCAGUUUUCUUCCAAAACCCAGAGUUUGUUCUUCUUCUCUGUUGAUCACCUCUGUUAUACUUCAUCUCCUUAACACUAAAGAAAUACCAAACCCCAUCUCUCGAUUUGAUCAUCGACUUGGCUGUGAAAAAAGAGGGAGAGGAAAUCAGAGCAAAUGAUUUCGAAUUCGAUACAACAGUUUGGGAAAAAAUAACUCGACUUACAAGGUAAAUCCCAAGGCUCGAAGCUACAGAUAUCGACUGUGCUAAUGACUUCAUCGACAUGGCUAGUGUCACUAUCGAGAUUUUUUGGCCGGAGGUAAUGGUCGACGAUCUCCUCGUCGUUUGGACGGAAUCUGAAACCCACCGGAUUCAUCAUUGUCCGAGAGCGACUAAAGUUUCAGAUAAAAGACAAAAUUGGUGAGAAAAAGUCAAAAUAUGUAGCAGAGAGGUUUCGCCAUUAACGAUGCUCUGCAAGUUAUGUGUGAGUUUUUUUGUUUUUAGGAGGAAGACGAAGUGUGUGUUUAUAAUUUUUUAUAAAAAGGCUGUGACGGGAGUAAGUGACGUCAACUAUGACCAGAUGAUGGGACCCACUAAGUGGAUGACGUCAUGUAUGAUGAAAGCAGGACACAUCACACCAAGUUCACAUGGCGGCGGCUGGCACUUAUCCUAAUGACCCCACCAUGAUUUUUCCAAUCCCCACACACUUGUUUUAUUUGUUUACACUUUCUGACAAAUUCUCUAAAUACUCUUUUUCAUUCCGUUUUAUUUUACCGGAUUAAUGACAUUUUCACAUUCCGAUUUAGUAUAAUUUUUAACACGUUUUAUAGUAAAUACAUAGUAAAAUCACUUUUUUUAAAAGUCGGUAACGUGGAAAAUAAUAAAACAACUGGUAAAGAAAGAUAAAAUUUAUCAAAUUGAAUGAUGACGACCGUUAAGACGUUCAAAUAAAAUAAAAGUUAUGAUUAGUCUAAUGGCGGGUUUUGGGCUUAAACAUCUAACAUGACAAGAUAUUCGCGUGGCACACAUCUAUAAAAGUCCAAAAGAGACUCGUGACAUUGCUAGAAUUAAGAUUAAAGCAUCUUUGAUUUGAUGAUACUGUUAUUUUAUUUUGUUGAACGAAAUCUUUUGUGGGGUUAAGUAGGACUAGCUGACUAGAUGAGUAGAGGUUGAUUGCUACGAAAAAUUGUCUAUUUUGUUAGGUUGAUUGCUACAGCUUUUGAUAUCCAUAUUGUAUCUCUAGUUUUCUUCCAUUAAAAAGGAGGGAAAAUCCGAAUAUUUUUCGGGGAUUCUAAAAUAAAACAAAACAAUACAUAAUUAUGGGAGUUAUUAUGUCACGUUACUACCAAAAAAAAAAAAAAGAUGUGGUUUGACCAUUUUGUUAGUUGAAUCAAAUGAAGUGAUACAUCUUUCUUUCCUCUAACCACAUCUUAUCACAAAUUCACCAUUAUAUUUUAAUAUAUCUCAGGGCACACAUACAAUGUGUAAAAGUUACAAAACCAGAUAGACACAUAUUACAUACUACUACAGAUUUUGGAAAGUACAAAAUUGAUAUCAUGUUCUUAGGUGAAUUUUCUUGACGAAUUUUUGUAUCAUCCUGUGAAAGAAACCAGCUCUUUUGUUCUUGAUCGUCUCUUGACCCAAUUUAUGCUCACCAAUCUCAGUCCCUUGUGCAUCAUUAUCAAUACCGGUUCCCGGUGUUUUGCUCACCUUAAAUCACAUCAUAGAACCCAAAAUGCUGUGAGUACUGGCACAAAGUAGCUUGGUUAAUUAGCAGUUUAGAAUGGUUGGUCUUUAAGAAAAGGAGAUGAUAAAGCUCACCUCUUGAGCUAAUGACACUAACUUGAUUGAGUUAGGAGAUUCCUGCAAGUCAGUGAUUUGGUAUAGAGGAUUUGAGCUACCAAAACUAGGACAAGUGCUUAAAGUUUGAAUGGAAAUCUGUCGUAUUAAACAAAACUAUAGCUUUGUGAGAAAAAACUGAAAACAGAGGAGAUAGUAAAGGUAAAAUAGGAAAAUUUUGCUUACAGUUGUUGCAGAAAUCGGAUCAGAAUCACUACCAUCGGUGCUAUGAUCACUGAAGACACCGGUCAAUGGCUUUUGAGGUGUGUGGUUGUUGCGAUCAUCUUGCAUAGAAACAAUCUUACUCUGCUCAUCGUCAUCAUUAAAGAAGCCUUUGAAAUCAUCACUCAAAAUAUUGCAGAAGUCCCUAUCUAGUGCAUCCACAUCAAGAAAGCCAGAAAACUGACUUGGAUUCUGUGAUUCUUGGCUGUGAAACAACGAUCCCUGAAAAAAGGAACAACGUAACACAGAUGAAAAAACUAUGUGUACGAGAUAUGAUUUUGAAGAUUUAAAAGAGAAACAGGGAAAGUUUUUGAGAUUGACUCACCUCUGUCUCUACACUCAAAACUCCAGAAUUGUUGGUAGGAGGGAUUAAAGAGUGAGUAUGCUUAAUUCCACUACCAGUAGCAACUGAAAAUUCUCUCCUUUCACCCUUAAACUUAACUUUGCAGAGUGUGUAUGUCAUUAUCUACAGAUCAACUCAGCAUAAAUGAUUACCAUAAACUCAGAUUUUUCCCGUUUACGAGAAAUAAAAUCACGGUAAGAAAACAACAACAACAAGUUAAAGAAGCCUAAACAAGAGAAUCGAAAAAUGACCUGAUUAGGAGACGAGAACGUAGCGUGAUACUCAUGCAUAGCCCAAUCGGACUUGGAACCACCGUGAUUCUUAAACACCAAAACCCUUUUCUCACCGAUCUUCUCACGAUCUCCCGUUUUGCGCAUUAUAUCCAUGGUAACGCCAGUUUUCUUCCAAAAACCAGACUUGGUUUUUCUUAUCUGUCGAUCACCUUUACCAUAUUUGUUCUCCUUACGGCCGAAGAAAUACCAAACCUGAUCUCUUGUUUUCAUCCUAGAAUGGGCUGGGAAAGACAGAACAUGAUCAGAAAUUACCGGGAUGAUACAACAGUUGGGAACCAAAGAAAAACAAACACUCGCGUUAGAAAGACUUACAAGGUAAGUCCCAAGGGUCGAAGCUACAAAUAUCAACUGUGCUAAUGACUUCAUCGACAUGGCUCGUGUUACUUUCGAGAUUUUUCGGUCGGAGGUAAAUGUCGACGAUCUCCCCGUCAGUCGGACGGAAUCUAAAACCCACCGGAUUCGCCAUUUUUCAACAGCUACAAAAAGGUUCAGAUCAAAACUAAGAGAGGGAAAGAUAUCAAAAUAUGAAGUAGAGAGCUUUCUCUAUGGUCGCUCUUCGCCCGCUCGUCUACAAGUUUAUAUCAUAAGAGCAAGUCCAACAAAGGGAUUUAAAGCAUAUCUUAACUGUUGAGAACCAAAUUUAAAAAACUACCGCUGGUCAUGCUCUAAGCAGGCAAGAUGGGUUUGUGCGCUUAUAUAAGGCACAAUAAAGGAGAUCCUAAAAAAAAAAAAAAAAAAAAAAAUUGAGAUCCUUGGUAGAUUUCGUCAACUAUUUUACGGACAGGUUUUGGACCCCAUAAUGCAGAUGUUGGGUCACAUAAUUUCUUUCCUACCAGAUCAUCUUCUUGAUACCCUACCCACUUAAGUCAAAGUGCGCUUAGUCAUGUGAUGUGACAGUUACUCCUAACGUUAACGUCAAUGGUUAAUUUAUCUUGAAGCUUAUAUAAGAUCACAAAAAGUAAACCACAUUGAAAUUUGUAUAUAGGAAACUUCGUAGAAGUCGUAAAUAAAAAGAACCAGCCACAAAUAUAAGGAUUUGCCGAGUAUGGAACAUAGCAUACAAUACAAUGUGAAUAUUAAAUUACAAAAGACAAAAAAAAAGAGGGGCGCUUACAUAUACAUUCAUAAAUUCCUCAGCUCUACAUACACACAUCUGCGGAGUAGAAGAACCACUUCAACUUGAAAAAUGCUAUACCAUUUUCUUACUUAUAUAGGGUGUGACUGAUAAAAAAUGGACGAAAUGAGAUGAAAAAUAAACGAAGAAAAGUGAAGAAAAGAAAAAGCAAAAAGCAGAAGAAUUUUCUCUCUCAUGUAUUUGAAGUGGGAUGAAUUCUUCCUUUUCACGUUGCUUUUUGAAGAAUUGGGAAGAAACAAAACCAAUUACUUUUUAUUGCUUUUUGAAGAAUUGGGAAGAAACAAAACCAAUUACUUUUUAUCUGACUGGUUACAUUUAAGUACAACACAGAAGAAUUCUUUUUCUUCUCACUAUUUUUCUUCUAUAGAAGACUACCAGUCAGACCCAUAGUUGUGAUACUGUUUGUUUUUCAAUGAUGCAAAUAUGGAUAUUAUAACUAUUAUUAAAUUACAUAAGUGUGGAAAUAAAACCUAGCUAUAAACACUGGUUCUUGAAAAAAGAAAGCAUAUAUGCAGAGUGAGCUAUGAUUUACUUGAUAAGGAAGAGACCAAUCGCAGUGACGAUGAGUGUUGAAGGCAAACCGAAUUUGAAAUGUUUAGUGAAAGUGAGAGUGUAUCCAUGGCUCACUGCUCUACGAGCUUGCUCACACACUAUCAGGUUUGCUGCUGAACCAAGCAACGUCAAGUUUCCAGCCACUGUGCUCACCCACGCCAGCAACAACCACGCCUUCUUCUCCUCCUCCCUCCCCAUCGCUGAUGCCGCCACUCUUGCUCCCAACAAAAGCACUACAAACGAUUAAAAAAAAAAGAAAAAAUAAUCAUUCGCAUGGUCUUGUGGUUCCUUUUGAAUCAAGAAAUUGUUCGUGGAGCCAACCAUACAUGUUUGGCUUUAAAAAUAAUGACAUUACCGGUUGGUACAUUAGAGGCUACAUUGGAGAGGACAAGAAUCACAACUGCUAGAACCGCGAUUCCUUUGGCUUGAUCAAUUUUGGCAUAUGGCUCCAUUAGGUCCCAUAGAGCGGUAGGGAUACCAGUUUUGUUGAAUCCAUCAACGGUUAUGAACAUCCCGCAGAAAAAGAUCAAAAGCGAAUACGAUACCUGCAAAAGUUACAACUUUGAUAAGAUCUUUGAAUUGUAUCUCUAAAGAGUUUAAGAAAAUUUGGUUUUCACCUUCUCGAGAGACGGCCUUGCGUCUUUGAAAUCAAGAACCACGAGUGCUAGAGCCGCGGUAAUUGCGGUCCACGACAUGUUUAAACCCAUAAGCAGAGAUAUUAGCAUUCCUAAUGUGAUGAAAUAAACACUUGAUUUCCAUAAAACUCUUCUCCAUCUCUUGGUCUGGAACAUAUUGUUGGUAUUAUUGCUCUCUCCUUGAGACUCUGCGUCGUUGUGUUGUUCUCUCGACGCAUUUGAAUUGCAGCUUAUUAACUCGCUCUCACCCGCUGAACCCGCUCUGUUUCUGAGAGUCUCGGCGGCAUCCAUUCUCAAGUUCGAAUCUUCGGAUGAGACUGGCGAAAAUGUAGCUGGCGAGAACCUAUGAGAUUGGACAUCUUCUUGGGCAACAACUUCAGAAUCAGCAUUUUGUACUUCUUCUUCAUCCUCUUUAUGAUCUGACAAUAACCGCCAAUACAUACCGAGAAGAAGCAUAGCGUUAACGGUAAUACCAACAAUCAUCGCAGGAAAAACACCAAGAAGAAACUCCCAAAACGGGAUCUUGCUUUGAACCGCAAUAACAAGAUUCUGCGGAUUCCCAAUGGGAGUAGCAGAAGAACCAAUAUUCGCACUCGUGGCUAAAGCGAGCAAAAACGGGUGAGGCGGGAGAUUCUUUUGCCUAGCGAUCUUCAACACAAACUCGGUUAAAACCACACAAGAUGUAUCGUUAGUAAACAGAGCGCUUGAAACAGCGGAAACAAGACAGACUCUACAUAGCAAGUCUUUCGGACCUCUGCUUUUCCACGAAAGCAAUGUGCCUAAGUACUUGAACAUAUCAGCUCUCUCAAGGUAUAUACUAACAACCAUCGUUCCAAAGAGAAGACCGAGUAUCGGGAGAUCAAUGGCUGCAUAAGCUUGUUCCGGGGUUAUCACUUGGAAGAUAACCAUUAGCAUUGCACCGAACAGAGAACCGGCGGUUCGACCAAUUGGUAGGAAUGGUACAGAGGGAAACACUGCUAAUAUCCAGAAAAUGGCAAAGGCAACUGAACCUAAGACCAGCUUUAUUACUGGAGCCAUUGCCAUUUUCUUGCAAAUAUUUCUUGAAAGCUCUCUGAUCAAUGAUCGAAAAGCAUGGACUUUGUAAACCCUAGUUGGUGAUUUUGAUGAAUCAAAUAUCUGAUUAGAAACCCUAAGAUCUCUGAUAAACUUGAGGACGUUGACCGAUUCCCAAUAGAAGAAUCGUCCUGUUGAAAAAACAAGAAAAGGGCAAUCAGUUACGAAUUCAGAACGACAAGUAUUGGAUAAUCAAACAAACUUGACCAGUUUCAUGGUUAAACAUACAGUUUCUUAAGGAGGAAUCGAAGGCAAAUGAGUGACAAAAAUUGAAGCAACUACAUAGAUAACACUCAGAGUAAGCGAGGACUCAUCUUUAUUAUAUUGUCCCGAGUCCCCACGACGAACUUCACCAAACCAAAAAAGUCAGCCCUUUUCCAAUUUUCUUUAGUUUCCAAAAAGUGAAGACAAGAUACCGAGAAGAAGUCUCUCUGUUGUGUUCGCUGUUUCAGAUCUUUCUUCUUCCCCUUUUUCAAUUUUCAUGAAAUUAACAAUUUGACCUGCCACGUCCUUUAGAUUAAUUAAAGUGUUUUCUUUUACAUAACAGCCAAAAUUGAAGUGUUAUAACGAGUCAACAAAUCCUACACGAUACUGUAUUUUAAAAAUAAUUAAAAUUUAACUUCAUCUUAUUGGCUUAACAUUUUAAAUUUAUCACUUUUACUCCACUAAAAUUUGAUUCAUGAAAAUAAAUAAAAAAUCUUUAAACAGACAAAACUAUACAGCACACUCCAUAAGGUUCGUAAAGAUGUCUCAUUGCAAAUCUCAAUCUCAUUGCUUCUUUACAUUUACAAGAGCCGUAAUUAAACAAAAUUUAGCUACAAAGCAUUUUGACUGGAGAGAAUUGUACGGUGAGACAAGCAUGAUCGGAUAUAUUGUAAUUCUCCGGCCACAAUCCUUUCUCUGCUUCUUGUGGAAACAAAAUUGCUUUAUUCACUUUCAAUCCGAUUGCUUCAUCUUCUCCUUCUUCUUUCUUACUCUCCAUCACACUCUCUUUGCAGUUUCCAGGUUGAUUUACCAUCGUCAUGUUCCAAAUUUUCUGACAUUACAUAACACAACACAUCAGAGUCUUGAUUGACGUUUUAAACAAAGCUACCGGUUUGUGAUUUCUGUUAUGUACCAAUUGGUUUAGUUUUAUUUACCUUAAGUUCUUCAUAGUCGAAGACACCAUUUCCAUCAAGAUCAGCUCGGACCCAUAGCUCUUUUGUCUCUUCGAAGCUAAGUCCAUGUGGAAUACCCGUUAGAUUUACCUACCACACAAUAUCAAAUUUUGUUGUCAGCAUAAAAGUCCAUUCGUCUUUGAAAGAAUUUGUAAAAAUCUGGAAGAACUUAUUUGAUCCUUAUUCUACUGUUAUGAUAAGUGAAAUCUCUAGAUGAUCACAAAGUUUUUUCAGAAGUGUCAAAUUCCAAUUAGAAUGUGCAAAUCUAAGAUUUUUUUAUCAGCAUUUGUGGAAAAUUGAGGUCUACUUUUUCCUGAAGAGAAUGUAUUUACCUUUUGAAGUGCUAGGCAAAAGUCAGAGUAGGUUAGUGAAUCACUGUGAUUUUUUGCCCCAAGAAAAGUAAAGGCAUCGUCCUCGGCUAUGGAAGCUUUGUGUAGUUGAUACUGGAAGAAACCAUCAAGAGAAAUCAGAAAUAGACAAAAUGAACAUGAAAAUAUCGUUUAGGAAAAAGUAAAUUUGGAAAGAAUGAGACAAGACAUGGUAAGUAUGAUGUGACUUUAACAUUUUGUAAAGGUAUAGUGCUUAAUAUCUUAGUUUUCCGAAUAUCUCACCUUGAUAAUGCUGAAAACAGCUUCCACCCAACUUGUUCUCAAUGGUUUUCUUGAAUCACUAGGGUUACAGAGCCAUAUGAAAUCAACUCCGCAAAUAUUUCCCCUGUGGUUUCUGUGGCUAACCCACUGAAGAAAUAAAUGGAAGAAUGACGGAUAAGGAUGUGUCUUUUACAAUAUGAGGCGUUUUAAAUAACAGAAGGCUGGAGGAAGUUUUUUUGAAGAGAUGUUUACCCUAUGAGCAUCACUGUCGGUAUACUGAUGAGCAUCAUCGUAUGAUGAAAUAAACCCUUGAGAUCUCAAAAAUUUGUAGACAUGCCCGCGUUUGCUUCCAUUCCAGUCACUGCAAUAAGCAUAAUUCAAAAGUCUGUGAUUACAUUGAACUGGCGGAUGGACACAAUAUCAAGACUCAAAGACUAGAAGCUAACCCGCAGAGAAUAAUGGGCAUGUGAUUAAGUUUAUUUUCCUUUUGGUAAGCUUCCAGAUAUUCAAGAAUUUUGUAAACCUGUGAAAAGAAGCAAUCAAAUUAAACUAUCACAAGAUUCAAGGUGAACGGUCUCAAAAUGCAAAAUGAUGGAAAGGAUGACCAACCUGAUGCAGUCUUACAAUAGACAAACUAGAAUCGUGAGGAAACAAGAGGUGAGUGUUCACUAUAAUAACUUCUUGUUGAACGUCUUGCUUUCCAUUAAGCGGAAAGGGAAUAACUGUUUUGACAUGUAAGAGCUGAGCAACACGGUCUCCAAAAUCGUUAAAGAGCAGCUCCCGGUAAUUUACAACUUUAAAAUGGUCCUUAUGAAUGGCUGUUAAAAGACCUGUAAGAAAGAUAUUCAAGUCCACAAAUGAGACAUCAAAAGCGAAGAAGCCUAUCUUUCAUCGCAUGCGAUCAGCUAGAGGAGUCCAAACAUAUAGCAUUGACUUUGAAUUUUAGACAAUAUUUCUACUCCAUCCAUAAGAUUGCCUUUUAAUACGGCAUCCUACUAACAACGACGUUAAGAUCAUAUAAACACCAACAAGAACACUUUGACACCAGAAAGAUCCUGAACUACCAGUUUCCAAGUCAUGAAAAGGUAUAGAUUUGGACAACCCUACACUAUUUACUGAAGCAUAUCAAGCAGUAACAUUGAGCCUCUUAACUUUCUAAUGACUCUGGACAGAGACCAUAUUCAAUCAAAAACAUGAUAAAAAAUAAAGAAUCUUACCAUCACCACGACUGUUUGUUCUAGCCAACUGAUAAAUAGUGUAGCCUGAAGAUGAAAGCUGGUGGUGGUACAUGUUCACUAAUUCCUCAUUCCCAACCCAAACUUCCUACGAACAGUCACAAUUGCUAAGAGUCAGCUUAACAAAAAAAAAAAAAAGUCAAAAUUUGACUCUUUCUAAGAGACAAAGUGUGUACCUGGAGACAGAUAACUGAAGAGCGUUGAUGGAGUAACAAAUCUAAAAUCCUCUGGUUACGAGCUAACCAAAGCGUGCGGAAAUCGCUCUCUCGAGUGCUAUGAUUCUGUUAAUAACACCCAACACAAUCAACCAAUGUCGUCGAUUCCAGAAUCAACAAGGUAAAGAGUGAAGAAAUCAGAAGAAUAGAAGCAAACCUUUUGAUCAACGCGUUUAUAAAUCGGAGCCAAGAUAUUGAAAGUGGUACAAGAAAUAUUCGAUUCCACCAUUGAAGAAGCUAAGUUGGAGUUGAGUCUCUGCACAAACAAACAAACACAAUCGGCGAAUCAAAUCUCAGAACAAACAAAAAAAAGAAGGAAAGUGGAGGAAGAGCGACGACGAACCAUAACUGAAAGCGGCUUGUUGUUUCUGCCGGAGAGUAGACCGGAAAAGUAGAUCGGAAGAGGAACAGCAGCGAGGACGACGAAGAGGGAGAGUGGUGAAGAGAAGGAAGGGAUGAAUCUAGACCGUAGAAUCAAGCUCAGCCUGCUUCGAUUCUGAUGGCUUUGCAUUUGAGUUUUUCUUUCGAAUUCUCUCAACAGAUCUUUUUUCUCAUCUUAUAAUGAAUUUCUAUCGGAUUUAUUCUUUUUGGCAGUACUUGAUUAUUAUUAUUAUUAUUAUUUUAUUCAUAAGUUAAAAAAAAAUAUGAACCGUUGGUUUCGUAAAUAUCUAAUUUCAGUGAAAUAAAGACAAUGUAAUUUCUUCAUAAUUGCAAUGAAAUAAAGAAAAAUUAGUCUAUUGACCAAUGGUAGAUUUUGGUAUUUUUGUUUUGGCCAUUCAUGGAAGUUUACAACGAUCAUAACGUUUUAAAUCGUACUUGUAUUUUUUGUAGAUUUAUGAGAAAAGGUAAGUACAAUAAAGAGUAAUUGCAGGGAAGAAGAGGGAUAUUAAUGAUUGGAGAAGGAGAACCGCGUAUCAGGCUGGGCUAUGUCGGUUUCUCAUGACACGGUCUUGUUGUAUCACACCGAUUAUAUAUUAUCGUUUUACAGCAAUGUUUAUAUCAUGCCUACAAAAUAUAGGGAUUCAAAUUGCUUAACCACGUUGUAUUCUUCUUCUUCUUCUUGUCCAACUUUUUCUACGAAAUUAUAGCAAAUCAAAUUCAUGCUAUUUAUUGAACGCAAAUGUUUAAUUUUCAGACAAAUCAGAUUCUUACUUUUGCUGUUCAAACCCCAAAAUUCAAUGAAGAAAUUUUAUAAUAUUCAUCAGAUACUGAGCGGAUUUUAAGCAAAAAACCAAGAGAAGUGAUAGAUACUGAGCGAGUUUGAUAUGAAGAUUAUCUUGGCCGGAGGUUGAUUAUCGUCUUUCCAACGAAGCAACUGCAACACCAUUAUAUGGAUAUUUGGUGUCUCGUCAUCAGAGUCGUGCCAAUGAAUUUUGAUGCUAUAAACAAAAAAAUAUAGUUUAAUAUUUUAAUAAAUAAUGUAAACAUAACAAAAAAAUUAUUUAUUAAAAUAUACACAUAACAAAGAAGACGGAAAGCUCCUCUCUCACAAGCCAGGCUAUCUCGCCACCUGCUAUACCUUUGAAUAUUUCAAAGGUCUUUUUUGAGAAGUAUUUCAAAGGUCCGUCUUCUUGACACUACCGGCGACAAGAGACAUUUUUACAACGAAAGAGUUCGAUAAUAGAAAGGUUAGUAAAAAAAUAAAAAUAUUCUUUGUCGUAAUUAUUUCAAAGGUCAUUUUUGAGAAGUCAAUAAAACUAUGUUUUGUUUUGUUAACAACAUGCAUUAUACCGUUUGAUUGAUAACAUAAUAACGACACUAGCACAUUUUACUAGUUUACACAUUAUAAUCAACCUAAUCGUUUUUGGUCAUAUUUUUGUUCUAAAUUAUUUAUGUUUUGCUUAAAAUUUGCUUAAUUUAUUAUUAAACUUUAAAUAUUAAUUAUUUUUUUUGUUAUGUUUAUAAUAUUUAUUAAAAUAUUAAAUCAUAUUUUCGCGUAUGGUAUCAAAUUUUUUUGGCACGUUCUGUUUGGAUGUUAUGUCACAAAAAUUAAAAAUUUAGUACUUACAAAAAAAACAAAACAUGGUUGAAAAAAUCUUUCAAUCAAUUACUAAAAAAAAAAGUAAAUGAAGAAAGCAAUACCUCAUGCAGCAGCUUGUGAUAUGAUCCAAAAACAAAUCGGGACAGCUAAAGGUCUUGGCUGGUACAAGCAAAAACUCGGUCUCCUUGAGCCCAUCCAGCUUCUUUCAGGUACUACAACAUAUUAAAAAGAUUGCACAUGUCAAAAUGACUAUUACCAUAUCCAAAUUUCGAUUGUUUCCUACUUUCCUUUUAUCUUCAACAGUUGUUUCCUUUUUCUUAUUUGAGAACGUUCGAGAAAUCUGGACCGUCUAUUUUCAUCAUAUUGCAACUGUGAGAUCUGAUGGUGAUUAUCUAAUCUAAACGGUAAGUUUGUUAGAUUAUGUGGGACCGGGACGAUCUAUUUCUUAAACCUCUGUUACAAACAAACACUCAUGUCUAUUAGUAUUAGGAAAUAAGAGAUGGAUAUGAUGAUGAUUCCGAACCAAUUCUCAAUAAACUGUUUAUAAUGGAACAGAAGCAGCAGUGAUUGAUGAUCUAACAGACAUUGACAUCAGGCUACCAAUGCUAGUCUUCCUGUGGGAGAUAGAAGCGGCCUUGGUUAUGCCGAGUUUUCUGUUGAUCUGUGUUUAUGUAAUCACCCGAGGAUGCAAACAAUUAAUCCCAUCAGCUAAAAGACUUGUUUGAUUCAAAACAGACUUUAGCAGAUCAUUUGUUUUUCUUAUCUACAGAACAUAAUAUAUUCUUUUUUUGGUGAUAUUAUGAUUGGGAAACAUCCAUUUCAUUUAACCAGAAAGCAUGGCAAUCUUUUCUUUGAACAAAUCUCCAUAAAUUACAGACAAAGAUAAAGCCGGAAACAAGAAAAUGUUGCAGAUAAAAUCUAACAAAAGAAAGAACAAUCGAAAAACUCUUCUUCUCCUUGUAAUUUGCUCACAACAAAACCUCUUCUUCAGAGCCUCUUAAAGUGGCUUUCCACUUGUCUUGAUAUCAUUUCUGAUUGCUCCUUGAAUCAUCUUAACGAUCAAAUACUGCAAAGUAGAAGAAAGGAUUUCACUUGUUUACCAAAUUCGAACAAGACAAUAAAUCAAACUGUGUCUCUUUCUUACCUGAGCGCCUAUGAUAAGAGGGAUGAGUUUCUUUCCUUUAUCAUCAGAGUAAGAUCCAUCUACCAUCUUCUUGUCUACAUGAAUUGCUUUCCUCUGGUUUGUUGCUACAUCAGUUAUCGCCUUAACCAAGUUCGGGAUCCACGCUUCACCAUUUGGAAGAGCCUGAACCGAGAGCAGGUAAGCAACUUUUAACAGUCAGUCUCUCUCCAAGUCGGAUCAAAUCAGAGAUUCGAAAACACAAACCUUUUCGUCCUUAUCGUUCUUGCUGCAUCUUCCGCUGUUCUCUGCAUAGACUACCGCGAUUGCAGAAUCCUACAAGCCAGUAAAGAAUGAAACUGAUUCUUGCUACAAUGAACCAAACAUACAUUGGUAUAACAAUUUUCGGAGACAGGUAUAUGUAUAAAUAACCAUACCUCAAACUCUUGUUUUCGCAUCUUAGAACCAGCCCGGAUAGUUUUGAGGAGAGAAUCUGAUCUCUUGGAGGAAAAAGUUUCGUAGGAAAGUUCAUCGGGAGGGGAAAAUUGAGCAUGAGUCAGAACAAGCAAGGUUUUGCACCAUAUCUCUUUUCCAAAGGUUUGGGUGAUUGCUAUAACAACUUGCUUAUCUAGCUCAUCGACUCUAUACACAUCCAAACGAUCAACAUAGAGCAAGACAUCUAUUGUUCUGUUCACAAGAAACCUGUCCAAAAUCCGAGAAACACAACAACUAUCGUAAAACUUCCACACACACUCCAAUAUACAGCUUCAGCGUAAACCAGAUACUCAUAAUUCACAAUUUCAACAGAAACCCACAAGUAAACAUGUUAACCACAUAUAUACUUAGCUUAAUUAAUUCAAAAACGAAUGAGAUAAUCCUAUAUGCAACAAUCAACGAAGAGAUAUUCCAAAAGAGUAGCUACUGACCCUUUGAUUAACUCGAGAGCUUGGUGAUUGACAUAUCCAGCUUCCACAAGUCCAGGGGUGUCAAUAAUGUUGAUAGUGAACCCUCCCAUUGUUCUUGAAACCAUCACUGGUCUCAAUCCUUCAGCCUACAAAAUCAACAAAACAGAGCCAUCAAAUAUCUUGAAAUGACUACUCUUUCUUAAUCCAAAUUAAAAAAAUCAAGCUUAGGGAAACUGAAUUACGUACUUGGAAAGGACUGACACGGACGACUUGUUCGCCGAUAAGAGAAUUGACAGUGGAUGAUUUUCCGACACCGCCUUUACCCAGAACAAGAACUGUCAUUGAGUUCAUAUCCUGCAAUUACAAAAACCUCCCAUCAUUAUCUCCUAAUCACAACGGAGAAUCCGAGAAACCGACUUAAGCACCAAAGAAACAGGAACAACAACAACAAAACACACCUUUUGCUUCAAUUUUCCGAAGAAUUCAAUCAGCUUUUCCUGGGUAGCUGCUGGAAAUUGCUGAAACCCAACCCAUUCACGAACGAGAGACCCCAUCACUCCUAAACCCUUCAGCAAAAAAAUUCUUUUGGUAAAUAAUCGCUGAGUGAUGACGAUGAUGAUAAUUAAUUUCGAAAGCGAUAACGUUUUGGGAGAUUUGGAGGAGCUUACCGUUGUGUGAGGAGCGUUUGAGGUUUUUGGAAGAAGCUCUCUCGAUGUGUUCCGCAGAGAAAAGCUAAAGAAUGUGACCUUAUCGGUAAUUUGUUUAAUAGUUCAAAUUAUUUUCACUUUUACUCCUCUAUUUCUUUAGUGUUUCUUUUUAGUGCCUUCAAAUUUUGAAAACUAACAAACUCAACCCCAAACCAAAUCCAGUUACCAAGUUGCAGCAUUACACUUCAUAUUUUCAUGGAAGACUACAUUAGGUGGAACAUUGAAUUAGCAUAGCGUCACGGGAGCUCAAGCGAUUCUCUGAACCUUUCUUCGCUUGUAAGUCAAGGAAAACAAAUGGUCACUAUUGGCUUCUCGAGCAUGAUUGUCUUCGCUCAGGACCCCCAGCGGUUUUCUCAGAGCCUUGGCUUCCCUCUGAAAGUUAUUACUAGACGAAAUCCUCUUGCUCUCUGUUGUUUCAGAGCCUCUGUCAACAGUCCUAGGCUUAAAACCAGGAGACUUCAGGUGGUACCGGACAUAUUCUUCUUGCUUUAGAGGUAUAUUCUGUUCUGUGAUGGAGUAAUUUGAAACACGGAGAGCACUGGGAACAGUGUGUGUUGGAUCAUGAAACACCGGUUCUGUACCUUGGAUUGAUCUUUGUGUAGUUUCCAAAUAGGUUAAGAAAGGGUCUGGGAUAGAACAGCCAAGAGUUCCGUAGGGUGGUUUCUCAAAUGUCGUACCUAAGUAUGGAGACGCUGCAAAUCUAGUACUCUUUGAACCGGUUUCAUGGAUUUGCAGGAGAUUGUUUCCUGGAGCUACAUAGGGUUUCCUGAGGAUGGCAGAAGAAGAUUUAGGGACUAAUUUGAGAACACCCUUUGGCAAAGUCUGAUGAUGAUGGCCAGCAGAAACUAAGCUGGAACCUUGAUACCGGAAUACUCCUUCCUUGGUUAUCUUUAUCUUGAGACUGUUCUUGGAGCUGCCACUGCGAGGGAAGGUUAAACUUUUCGAUCUAUUUCUUUCCACGGGUUUCACUACAUUGGGAGUUUUGAAUCUACAUGUAGCACUAUCCAUUUCCUUAGAUGGAACUCUAUUGAGGUCCAGUAGCUUGAGAUUACCGGUUUGAGUUCGUCCUGACCAAAUGAGGAGCCUUGAGUAAUUGCCCAAUUUAUUUCCAUACUGAACCCACACCCUUUGCAUUUCGGUAAAUGUCCUGAUCAGCUUUUCAUGAUAGAACUUUAAAGAGUAGUAAUACUUUCUCCUCUUGACAAACAUAACACCUUCUUUGAAACAAGCUACCUUUGGAGUAAACAAUCCACCUAGCAAAUUCUUGUAAAACUUAUCCUCUGGAUUCCCAAAAUAUAAAUUGGCACCAUCAAGAAGUUCCUGCAUCGUCAAACUGAAAGUCUGUGGAUCCAUAUCUGGCAGAAAACAUGAGAGGAAGAAUCUUUCUUCUUCAGUCAGAAGUGAGUUCCAAGUCUCAACAGACAAUAUUCCCGUUAAAUCUGGUAGAUCGUAGAGCUCGUAUGGUAUGUUACAGAGCUGACCUUCAACCAAAGCUAGCUCACAGUUUACUUGCGCAAUGUCGUAAUCAUCAGAGUCAUCAUCUUCAGAGUCUAGCCCAACUGUUUGAUUCUUAUUCAUCUGUAGUUAACCACUUACUACCCUUAAAACACAAGUACUUCAAAUCUCCAACCACAAACUCAGUAGAAAGGAACACAAGCAGGAGAUACCUAGAUAGAAAAUGUUAAAGACUCAUCAUCAGCAAUUCACAUUACAAGAAUUCUACUACAAUACAAUGGACAGCGAGAAGCUGAGUAUGUUACUAAUCAGAAAUCAAACGAACAUAAAUAGCAUUUUACUCACUGAUUUCAGCAACAACAACACUAAAGGCUAUAUAAAACACGAAAUAUACAUUGUGAGAUCAAUGAAGCACUCAAAAAGAAGAAGAUACACAACACCAGAAAAUCUCCCAGAUCGGAUCAGCUACAAAGCUUAAACGUAAUCGAUCGCGAACUCAAUCAAUAACCAAAAUCAAAAGCUCCAACAAGGCAAAUAACUAGAGAGCGAAAACCCUUGGAUUUGACAACAAAAAUGUGCAGACAAUUUGAAUAAAAAACAAGUAUCAUACAAAUCUCAGCACAAAUCAGCUCCAAUGAGUUUCAAAAACCUACCGGAACUAAUAAAAAAAAAGAAUCUCGAGAUAUUCAGAGAAAUCGAUCGGAAAGCGUAAAAGACGAGGAGCUUACCGGCUCUAAAGACAGGUGAAAUUAGCAGAUUAGGGUCGAAGAAACCAUAUCCCUUUGGCUACAGAUACGAACUUCAUCGCCUUCAAAGAUUCUCUGCUUCCUUUCUAGAGAUUUCUAUGGCUUUUCGAUCGAUGCGACAGUAGAGUAGAGACUAGAGAGACUAAUUACUGUUACACUUGUAUUUUGAUUUCUUUAAUUAAAGCCGCCUAAAGUAACUAAUGCCUUGAUUACUUUAAUUAAUAAUCAUUUUUAAAUUGUGAUUUAUAAUCAAGUUAGACAUUACUUCACAAAUAGUUUGGGCCUGGAAACGUAUAGGCCCAUGUAAACUUUAAUAAAAGAAUCACCUUGCAGGUAAGUAUAAUAUCCUGAUAUUAUUAUUUACUUGAUAGAAUGGGCCUAUAAUAAAAGAAAUCACCAUUAAAGAAUUAUAGGCCCAUGAUAUCAAGUAAAUAUCAAGAAAUGAUGAUUAAUGAUCAAGUUAGACAUCAUUACUUGAUAUUUUGGUAAGUAGGAUCAAUCAACGGUCAGGAUCCUUUUAGUAAAAUCAUGUGUCAUUUUCAGUUUGUCUAAAAGAUAAGCCUUUCACUUUCUCUCUCUGUCUUAUUAGAAAAGAAAAUUUGUACCGUUUCCAAAGUCUGAGCCAAUCAUUGUGUUGAUUCUGGAAUUCUUUGUGGGAACGAGAAAUUUGUACAAGGGAGAUUCAUCAUGGCUGAUAGUUGUUGUAUCAGACUUCACUUAUUAGCCUCUGUUUUCUUGCUCUUAUUUUCAUCCUUCAACUUGCAGGUACUUUAAACUUUCGUAAUCUGUGUGUUAAAAUUGCUUACUAAGAUCGAUUUGUUGGACUCUUGAGCUACAAGUUAAAAAAAAACAAAAUAAAUCAAACUUUGUGAUUUUUUUCUCUGCGUAUCAAUCUAAGACAUAUGAAGGGGAAAUGUAUAUAUGGUUUUUUGUAAUUGUUUCUAUAUCAGUAAAGUUUUAAACUUUUGAAGCUGGUUUAUCUCUUAAUCUCAGGGUAUUGCAGCGGAAAAUCUUUCCAAGCAGAAACUGACCUCACUGAUUCUUCAGGUUUUGAUCUUAAUCCACACAAUUAUCUGUAUUGUUUUCGUCUCUUUUAGAUUGCCUAAACGUUGAUGAUCAACUUUUGCAGAAUGAGAUUGUAAAGGAAGUCAAUGAGAAUCCAAACGCUGGUUGGAAAGCUGCUUUCAAUGAUCGGUUUGCAAAUGCCACCGUGAGUUUAUUAUCACCUCCAUGCUCUUAUCUCUUUAAGAGCUACGUUACUUAUCAUUGUUCCUGAAAGUUUGUGUUUUUGUGUAUGUAUGUGCAGGUUGCAGAGUUUAAGCGACUCCUCGGUGUUAUACAAACACCAAAGACGGCAUACUUAGGUGUACCUAUUGUAAGACAUGAUUUAUCGUUGAAGCUUCCUAAAGAAUUUGAUGCUAGAACCGCUUGGUCACAUUGCACCAGUAUUCGAAGGAUCUUAGGUCGGUUUUAAUCUCUUAGCUUCCACUAUCUCUGUCAUUAACCCAAUGAUUUACUGACUCUUCUUAUGUUUUGUUUCAAAUUAUCUCCCUCUUUAUUGCACUAAAGAUCAGGUGAAACAUCAUUUCAUUUGAGUGGGUUAUAUAUUGAACAAUGUGUUACUCUGGUCGACGAUAACUUUAUGGUUUUGGUUUCUUUUGGGUCAUUGUGGUUCUUGCUGGGCAUUUGGUGCUGUUGAAUCACUGUCCGACAGGUUCUGCAUCAAAUAUAACUUGGUAACACAACUUUCUCCAUCAAGCCAAGAUUGACGAUUGCUACAGCUUUUUAAUGUAAUUGCUCUUCUUCCCUUGCAGAAUGUUUCCUUAUCUGCCAAUGAUGUCAUAGCAUGUUGUGGAUUACUUUGCGGUUUUGGUUGUAAUGGUGGUUUCCCAAUGGGUGCAUGGUUGUACUUUAAGUACCACGGUGUAGUAACCCAAGAGGUAAAUUCUCAGCAAAGAACAAAUAAUAAUGGCAAUGUGGUCAAAGUGUAUUGAACUUUUGUAAUGCUGUUGGUUCUUCAGUGUGAUCCAUACUUUGACAAUACUGGUUGCUCUCACCCGGGAUGUGAACCCACUUACCCUACACCAAAAUGUGAGAGGAAAUGUGUAAGCAGAAACCAGCUAUGGGGUGAAUCAAAACACUAUGGUGUCGGCGCAUACAGAAUCAAUCCUGACCCUCAAGACAUUAUGGCUGAGGUUUACAAGAAUGGACCUGUCGAGGUUGCUUUUACCGUUUACGAGGUAAUGAAAAAGAUUUUUGAUUGAUCAAACCAUAUUGAUUAUAUCUUGGUGAAGUCCACAUUUUCAUGUAUCUUUUUGUUCUUCAGGACUUUGCACAUUACAAAUCAGGAGUAUACAAGUACAUAACGGGUACUAAGAUUGGAGGUCAUGCAGUUAAGCUCAUUGGCUGGGGAACUUCUGAUGACGGCGAAGAUUAUUGGGUAUGAAUUCUCUGGAUUUUGAUUCAGAUCAAGCUGAAAAAGUAAUAACAUUUUCUUGUUCGUUGUUGCAGUUGCUUGCAAAUCAAUGGAACCGAAGCUGGGGUGAUGUAAGUUCUUCUUUUCUCCAAUCAAAACUUUUAAAUUAGACCUUCCAAGUAAACAAAAGCACAGAACCUGAGAUAGAAAAUGUGAAAAUCUCAGGAUGGUUACUUCAAGAUCAGGAGAGGAACGAACGAAUGUGGCAUUGAACAGAGUGUUGUAGCUGGUUUACCUUCAGAGAAGAACGUAUUUAAAGGUAUUACCACUUCAGAUGAUCUUCUGGUUUCCUCAGUCUAAACAAGACGAUGUGUCCCUACUUCUGUAAUAUAUCAUUUGCAACUGUGUUGUAAGUUUAAUAUACCAUUGAAAGAAUCACCUUCAAUCAAAACAAAAGUAUGUAUAGCUUCUGUUAAUAUUCAAUUUUACAUGUUACCAUGCAAGAGGACUGUUACAGUGUUUAUUUGGUUUUGGUAAAUUAUAGCCACCUAAAAGUAACGCCUUAAUUAAUCAUUUUAAAUUAUGAUUAACAAUCAAGUAAGUGGAACAAAUCAACGGUCAGGAUCUUAUCCUCGCAGUAAUAUGAUCUGUCAUUCUCUAACUAAAAAGAUAAGCCUCUCUCUGUCUCUUCCUAGAAAAGAAAACUUUGUACCUUUUCCAAAGUCUAAGCAAAUCAUUGUUUUUGAUUACUGGAACUCGUUGAGGGAUUGAGAAAAAAAUAAUCAGAAGAGAAAGAUCCAUGGCUGAUAAUUGUAUCAGACUUCUUCACUCAGCCUCUGUUUUCUUCUGUUUAGGGCUUCUAAUUUCAUCCUUCAACUUGUUGCAGGUACUUGAACCUUCAUAAUCUGUGUUUGAAAUUGCUUACGAAUAUUUAUGCAUGUUAGUGCUUUCUUCUAGUUACGAUCUGUUUCGUAGCCUUCUCGGGUUUUUCUGGGUUUGAUCAUGUUUGCUUAUUUGUUGGACUCUUGAAGCUAGAAGUUUUAAAAAAAAAAAUCGAAAUUUUCUGGGUCUUAAUCGAAUCAAUGAACGGGAAACAUAUUUGUGAUAUCAGAAUUGUUUAAAGUUUUAAACUUUUGAAGCUGGGUUGUCUCUUAAUCUCAGGGUAUUGCAGCUGAAAAUCUUUCCAAGCAGAAACUGACCUCAUGGAUUCUUCAGGUUUUGAUCUUAAUCCACCCAAUUUUCUGUUUUGUUUUCGUCUCUUUUAGAUUGCCUAAGCGUUGAUGAUCAACUUUUGCAGAAUGAGAUUGUAAAGGAAGUCAAUGAGAAUCCAAACGCUGGAUGGAAAGCUUCUUUCAAUGAUCGGUUUGCAAACGCCACUGUGAGUUUCUGAUUACCUCCACCAUUCCUUACAUAUAUCCUAUCAAUGCUUAUCACUGUUCCUGAAAACUUGUGUUUUUGUGAAUCUAUGUGUAGGUUGCAGAGUUUAAGCGCCUUCUUGGUGUUAAACCAACACCAAAGACGGAAUUUUUGGGUGUGCCUAUUGUAAGCCAUGAUAUAUCUUUGAAGCUUCCAAAAGAAUUUGAUGCUAGAACCGCUUGGUCACAGUGCACCAGUAUUGGAAGGAUCUUAGGUCGGUUUUAAUCUUUUAGAUUUCCACUAUCUCUGUUUUUUUCUAUCCAAUGAUUUACUGACUCUUCUUAUGUUUUGUGUUAAAUCCUCUCCAUAAUCGUCUCACUAAAGAUCAGGUAACAGAUCAUUUACUUGAGUUUUAUAUUGCAUAAUGGGUUCUCAGACAGAUAUAAACAUUUUGGUUUUGGUUUGUUUAGGGUCACUGUGGUUCUUGCUGGGCCUUUGGUGCUGUUGAAUCACUGUCUGACAGAUUCUGCAUCAAAUAUAACAUGGUAACAUAGAUUUCUUACUGUAGCCAAGAUUGAUGAUGGCUAGUGUUUUUCUCUUCGAAUGAUUAAUAUUCGUUUCUUUUGUUCGUAUGCAGAAUGUUUCUUUAUCUGUCAAUGAUCUUUUAGCAUGUUGUGGAUUCCUUUGCGGUCAAGGUUGUAAUGGUGGAUACCCAAUUGCUGCGUGGCGGUACUUUAAGCACCACGGUGUAGUCACUGAAGAGGUAAAUUCACUUUUUAACUGCAAAGAACAUCUAUUAAUGGCAAAGUAGUUAUAAAACGUAUUCUUGAUUCUACAGUGUGAUCCAUACUUCGACAAUACUGGUUGCUCGCACCCGGGAUGUGAACCCGCUUACCCUACACCAAAAUGUGCAAGGAAAUGUGUUAGCGGAAACCAGCUUUGGCGUGAAUCAAAACAUUAUGGUGUUAGUGCGUACAAGGUCAGAUCUCACCCUGAUGACAUUAUGGCAGAAGUUUACAAAAAUGGACCUGUUGAGGUUGCCUUCACUGUUUACGAGGUAAAUACUAGGUUCUAGAGUGAUCAAAGAUAUGAUUAUAUUAUGGAACUCCACAUGUUCAUGUAUCUUUCUGUUCUUCUACAGGACUUUGCGCAUUACAAAUCUGGAGUGUACAAGCACAUAACAGGUACUAACAUUGGAGGUCAUGCUGUUAAACUUAUUGGCUGGGGAACUUCUGAUGACGGUGAAGAUUAUUGGGUAUGACUCCACUUUUGACGCUCUGGAUUUUGAGUUUCGAUCUAGCCAAAAAAUUCACAACAUUUUCUAUUCUUUUGAAUUGUUGCAGUUGCUUGCAAAUCAAUGGAACCGAAGCUGGGGUGAUGUAAGUUCUUCUUCUCUCCAAUCAAACUUUUACUUUCGACCUUCCAAAGAAACCACAGAACCUUAGAUAUAGAAUCUGAAAAUUUCAGGAUGGGUACUUCAAGAUCAGGAGAGGAACAAACGAAUGUGGCAUUGAACAUGGUGUUGUAGCUGGUUUACCUUCAGACAGGAACGUAGUUAAAGGUAUUACUACUUCAGAUGAUCUUCUUGUUUCCUCAUUUUAAACAGGAAUAUGUGUCUCUACUCUGUAAUACAUAAUUUCCCACUGUGUUGUUGUUACCAAUGAAAUAAAACGACUUUCAACCCAAAAAGAAGUCUAUUGUAUAUACCAUUUAGCUUUUUGUUCAUAUUCAAUAUAAUGUGUUGUUGUUUCCAAUGAAAGAAUCAAAAGACAUUCAACUAUUCUACAUAUCAUUUAGCUUUUGUUCAUAUUCAACUAUACAUGUUUCCUAUUUUUACAUUCUAAUAUCUACUGUUUGUAUCUAUACUGUUUCAUUCUGCACUAUGUGUGACCAACGGUGGAUACUUGAGGUUUUUCAGUUUACUAGAUUGGUCGGCGAUAAGCUGAGCAGUAGUAUUAGGACCUGCUUGCAUAAAGACCUCGUACCCAUCACCUAACAGACCAGUUCUAUUGGUCGUAAGCUGCCAGAAAACACCACCAGUACACGAACCACCAGCCCUUGCACUGUCGUAGAUAACAUCGUAAACUCUUUGGAAAAACUUGUUCCGUUUCUCUAAGCUAAAACCAGGGUACUUUGAAGAUUUCCCAAACUCUGUUAUCAGCAAAGGCUUCUUGAUGAUAUUGUCACAGUCUUCAAUAUGUGCUCCGAUCCAUCUGUCCACAAAUGUAUCUUGUUCUCCUGUUCUUGAGCUCUGUAAUGGUAGCCUGAUCUUGAUUUGGUACACAGAGAGAAUGUGUUAAAAGACAACAAACCAGAAAACCCAAUUUUGAUUCAUUGAAUAGAGAGACUGAUGACUUACCAAGAAUCCGGGUAGAUAUGGAUAGUGGCGAAAUCGAUAUCCGGAAUUUGGUUAUUGGUGAUGAAAUCUGUACCGGUUAAGACCCUUCCGCCGGGAUUGUAAACCGUUCUUUCCGGUAUAGAUUCUCCGUAGAACCCUUCAAGCCCUAUUUCCAGCAAAUGGUUUGAGUCUAUGGACUUAACAUAACUAGCCAUUUCCUUCACCCAAUCCUGCACACAAAAUGACACCGUUUAAGUAUGUAUACGUGUGCAUGUUGUAUAGUAUAAAUACAGAGGAGAGACAUAGAUACCUGAAGAAUAUUCGAAGCAGUGGAAUCAUUGCAGCGAGGUUCGUUGAUGAGUUCCCAUGAGAAGAUGGUAGGGUCAUCUUUGUACAUUCGACCAGUGAUUGUGUUUUUCCUCGUCAACACGGUCUGUUUCAUGGUUUUGUCAAACCGUCGGUUUAGUUUGAUUUUUAAGUCGGUACUAGUAUACAAAAUUCUAUAUAUGAUCUAAUCCUUUUACGAGAUAUUUAAUUUGGGACAUUUGUUCAAUAAUAAGUUAACAAACAUUUUUAGAUUGGUACAUUUGUCAUGUUUGUUGAUUACUUUUAAUUGAUCAAAACCUAACUUUUGACAUUUCAAAACCGUCGUUUAUCUCGCGUUAACGUGUACAAAUAUAACCUGAAUAUUUUGCCUUUAACGUGUCGUGUUACAUAUGAUGAUCUCUAGAUAUUAAAUUUAACUGAUAUUUAUGUAAUUAACAUGGGUUUAAUUUUCAUAUUAUUACUAACCUUCACGUGAUUCUUGUAGAAUUGCUUGACAGCUGAGUUUGUGUAGAAUUCAUCCGGUUCAUCUAAACCGGCCCAUUCCACGUACUUUUUUCUCCCUCCAUAGUCUUCGAAAUUAUUGACUAAACUAAUUAUCAAUUUAAUAUUAAAUCGUCCAGCUUCAUAGACGACAAAGUCUAGCCCCUGCUGUCACAAAACUUUGUAUCAGUAUUAGUACUCAUAAAACCCAAUUACAAUUUGUUGUUAGUUUUUCUAUCAAUCAAUUGUGAGAGUCUCUUUAUUAGGUCAACAAAAAUUAAAGGUGUCUAGUACCAAAUUAUGCUUCUAAUUAAUAUAAAUAUGAUUAACAAUGUGAAAGUCUAUCUAUGCUUUUGUCAUUUUUUGCGAUUAUCCACUUUAUAUUAGCGUAUGAAAAGGAGUAGACGACGAUUUUUUUACGAGAAAAAAAACAAAAAGGUUUGAAGGUCUUAUGUCGGAAGUAUAAUUUGAAAUUUGAAUCCUUCAAUUUAGAUUCAACAAACAACGGUCAUCCAAAGAUUAAUAUACAUAUGAUCAUGACAAUAAAAAAUAACAGUCAAUAUUUUUCUUUAUAAUUCCGUUUACUAGUGAAUCAAUACAAAAUAAUUAAGUAAAUAAACAAUGAUAAUUUUAUCAACUCAGUCAGCAAACGAUCAAUUCAUGAUUAAAAAUAUUAAGUUUGUUGUAUAAUUGAUAAAAACAUACGAAAUGGUGAUUUCAGCAUGUUUUGCAACGAGCCACCAAAGUUCUCAAAAUAUAAAAUAUUAAGUAUAUAUGUGUAUGUAUGUAUAUGCAUGCGUGUUACCUUGAAAACGUCUUCACUAUAGGAGCCAGGAGAGAUCUGAAGAGGAAUGUAAUCUCCUUCGUUGAAACCCCAAAUCCUAGCGACGUUCAUUCCCACCGCGGAGGCUUGCCGGAGCGCCGUCGUGACGGUAGCUCUUCCUUUAGAUGCCGUGUCAGCCGCGGUGGUCAUCAUCCAAUAAGCAUUGAAGCCGUUUAAGUAAACUUGUUCUCCGUUCAACACGAACUGCGUGCCGUUUCUCCCGACAAAGCCUGUCUUUACGGCGACGCAAAUGCGGUUGUUUCCGAUGAGAAACGGAAGAAAGAACAAGAAAAACGGUAAGAUGUUUAACAUUGUGAUACUUUUGCCGACUUGAAGAAAAGAGAAUGACACAACAUGAAACGUUAAGGACAUUUGUGUGUGUGGUGUUAUAUAUACAUUACAGAUGUCUUAGAGCCUACGUAUUUGAAAACUAUUCAUUUUUGUCACCAUAUUGCCUACGUUUAAUUGAAAAUAUGUACACGGAACGCGUGAAAUUUAGAUAAAGUUUUUUUUAACGUUUAUCUCAAAUUCACUUUUGAAAUUAUAUUCUUGGGUUUAAGAAAACUCUUUACUUUUUAAACUGAUACAUAUUAUUUAAAGGAAAUAGAUAUUUUAUAAUUUGGCUUAAAAGCGUUUAUUUUUUGGCUAAUUGGCUUGAAAGCGUAAUAUUUUUCAUUUCCCCAUUAAAACGGUUUCAGACUGUUAGAUUUAAAUAAAUUGUAAUCUUGUUGCAUUAAAGGUUUUAAAUAAAUGAUUUUGGCGAAUAUAAUAUUUUCUAGUAAGUCAUUGUAAAGUUAAAAAUAGAUAAUUUUGGUUUUAUAACAUAUUGAUGAUACGUAAUCGAAAUAAUAUGAUUUUUGGUUGAAUAAAAUGAUACCAAAUGAUCACAAUAAUUAUAUAUGCUUUUGAAUGUAAGCAUGACACGCAUGUGGAAUGGAGCUAUCAUACUUAAGCUAGUACAUAUGUAAUGUACGAUUAAUUUAUUUUCUUAGGUCGACGACUCAAUCAUGUAAGAUGAAUUAUUGAAUUUCAUUUCUCAACAGAAAUAAUUAUUGAAAUAGAGAAACUUCAUAUGGAUUUUUGUAAGCUCCAAUUGAUUCGAGAGAUAUCAGAUGUACUUUUAACUCUUCCCGGGUCCCCUAUGUUUGGACUUUUAUUAUUUAAAUUUGUUUGGCAAAUAACUAUGAAAUUUGCAAUGAUUAAAAAUUAAUAAUAGUUUCCCUAUCAAAAAAAAAAAAAUUAAUAAUAGUUUGGUCUAAACCAUGUGAAAUGAGAUCUAACUUGGGCCAUUCAUUCUUGUUCUCAAGUUUUACUUCACAAUAUUGGGCCCUUGAUAAAGCCCAUAUACUUGAUAUGGUUUGACUCUAUGGACUUACAUAACUAGCGCUCUGGGUCUUCAAUACACCUCAUUUUUCUUUGGGUGUUUUUAGGUGAAAUACGAAACCUAGGGGUUCAUUUAGCAAUUUUCAUCAUAAAGGGAAAAAGACAUGUUUAUAUUUUCCAAGUAUGGAUCAAAGGCUCUAACAGCAACAAAUGGGAAACAAUGUCAAGAAACUGGGGACCUAAUCUAUCUGGCAAAGCCUUUUACUUACCUUAAUGGCCAAAGUCUUUCCAUUCAAAAUCCAAACCAGUAAUGGCAAAAUCAAGACACUACUCAAUGUCGUUCCUUCGAAUUGGCAGUUUGGUUAGAGCUUUGAGAGCAACUUAAACUUCUGAAAGCACACUUUUACUAUGAACUAUGUAAACGAAGAUUUGUUUUCUUUUAAUGAAAUGUUACAGAAUUCCAGUACAACAUAAAUCUAACAUCCAAAAGAGUGUUGUUACCCGGUCAAGGAUGAAGUCUGCAAACAUGUUUUUACUUUUAUCUUCGCAUUACACGGUUACGCUCUCUCUUGCGAAAUCGUUCCAACAUGAUUUGAUCAGUUGCUGCUUGUCUGCUUUUCCCUGAAUCAGCAUUAUUAUUAGUACUACUGCUAGUAGAAGGUUUAGCUGCUUCACCGUCCGCUUGAGGUCCUCCUCUAUCUUUGUAUAGCUCAGGAUGCUCUGCGUUUUCAAAGUUUAUAUCAAUACAAGAACCAACACGCACAUGGACUAACAAAUGGAAAAAAGAGAAAAAAGGAUUCAUAAAGCAAACCUCUCCUAAGCUUCUCAGCAUAAUCUUUCCCGCGUUGGAAGUAAUCCGCACUAUAACUAGACGGGAUACUAAACUCUGACUUUGGCCGACCCAUAAGUCUCCUCUCUUGCAAAAGCUUCUUGGCAGCUUCAGUUUCUUCAAUGUUCUUCAGCUUGUAUCUGAAUAUUAUCCAUCCAAACAAAAAAAACAUUAAUCUCUAAAAUACUCAAAUACACAUUUAUCUUACAUCUAUGAUUGAGAAUGUAUUCAUACUCAAUUGGGAGUUGGACUUCUGCUAUUCCGGUAGUCCACUGCGUCGAGCUCUCUUCCGAGCUACGCUUCUUGACCUGAGAAGGAAGGAAGGCUUUUAGUAACAAACAACAAUCUUAACCCCUGUUAAACAUCGACACUAAACAACUUACUUUAAGAUGAUCAGGUAUCUUAUAUAACUCAUCUUCCACUCGCUUCAAUUCGUUCUCAACCUCCUCUGCAUCAUCAAUAUUUCUUCCCCGUUUCUUCGCCAAUUCUUGUUCAAUGUACUUUACCCUAAAGAAUCAAAACAAUCCUCAACACUUACAAAGACAAAGACAAAGACAGCUCACUCUAGCUUAAUCUAUUUAACUACCAAGCAAACUAGGUUACAAUUUUUGUAAAGAGAGAUUUGCUUACAUGUUGGGAUCUUCAAUCAAAACAGCAGUCUCUUGAGCAAAAGUAUCUUGCAACACAAGCUCCUCUUUCUCUCCUUCAGUUUCAGUUUUCUCCACUGGUUUCACUUUUCCGAUGCUAGAUUGCGCCGUAGAAGAUAAAGCUGGGAUACCUAAUUUCCUCUCUCGCAGCUUCUGCAAAAACUUCACCUCCUCUAACGCCAAUCUGUAGAUCAAACAAAAAUCGAACCUUUUCAACAACCCAUCAAAUAAAUUGAAGAAAAUCAAAACCCUACAGAUUUGCUUUUCAAUUUAGAGCUGACCUUCGCUUCUCUUCUUCCUCUGAAAUUGCGGCUUUGUUUACAUCAUUAUCUUCUUCUUCCUCCUCGAAGCUACGCUUCCUGAAAUUUCUCUUCGGCGGCAUCGCAGCCAGAAACUAUCGGAUUUUUGAAAGAGCUAAUGCGACUUGAGACGACGACGACGAUAGGCUUUUAGGUUGAUCUGAAAACAGACUCUCCGUCGGCUAAAAUCACAAGCGAAACAUUUAAUAUGGGCCCUAUUAGUAAGCCCAUUAUGUAUUAAAAAAAUAUAUUUAAAUGAGAUAAUUUACUAACAUUUUAUUUAGGGCCAUAUUAGUUAGCCCAUUAUACAUUUUUCCAGGCCCACGUUAGCUUCUUAUUCAACUUAAGAAGUGUAUUAAUCCAUCACUGGUCCAAAAGCUCUAGGACGAACACUUGAUCUCCAAGCAAGCAAUAAAAAUCAUCAACAAGAUAAUCACAGUAACACCUUUUUAUUCAAUACAGUAGUGUUAAAUAAAAUCUUUCUAGGUAACGGUUACAUUAUAUUUUCAUGUUUUUAUUUUUUUUUUAAACUUUUAUGAAUUAUUUUUUAGUGGCAAGCCUUUCCUUAAUCUUAUCAACCAUCUUAGAUCCCACUUGAAAAGUCUUAGUUAACACAUCUUCCGGCAAAGCCGGCUCUGCCGCAAAUAGGGUUGCCGCAACAGAAGCCGUUCCCGGCAACUGACUAUUAAAUGCCGACAAAACCGACGCGGGAGAUUUCCCAUUGUUCUUUUGAAAAUGCACAAGCCCUCUUGGAAAAACGAAAACUUCACCAAUCUUUAUGGUUUUAGUGAAAAGCUUAUUCGCUGUUGUGAUAAAUCCAACCUCAAGCUCUCCUUCUAGAACGUAGACGACUUCGGUGGCGCGUGGGUGAGUGUGCGGUGGGUUUAAACCUCCCGGCGCGUAGUCUAUACGUGCUAAGGAGACGGAGAGAGUGUUGAGGCCUGGGAUCUUUUCCACGUUGGCUCCUGUUACGGCCGAACCCAUCGUAGAGUUUAUGACGGCGGGUUUUGAGAUUCCGGCGAAGAAGAAGUCGGACUCCGUGAUGUUUAAUGUUUCCUUGCACGGAAAUCCAUUCAGUUUGGUUCCUGCGUUUCGCACAUCGUGCCGUUUAGGUUUUAUAUCAAGUCAACAUAGAUUUAAUAAUGGUGUAAUAUUCCCACAAAAUAUCUAUAUAUUAAAAUAUCUCUAAUUUCAACAUAUUAAUUUUAUUUUUGAUUUGAAAUUUAGAUAAGAUGUUCAUAGAGUUUGAGAUGAUCCUCCUGAUACAUAGAUAUUAUUAUAACAUCACGAUAGAUUAAAUUUUCGAACAAAGGUAAUUUCUACCGUGAGAUUUAUCGGCAACGCAGAGAUCUUGAAGAGCGUCGGGAUCGUAUGCACGAAUUGAAGUGAUCAUAAUGCAAGAUAACGCAAUGAUAAUAGAAAUUCUUGAAUUCAUCAUGGCUCCAAAUUAAAUAUAUCCGUGAAAAGAUGAAUUUUAUUUAACUAUGAGAGAAGAAGCUCGAAGUUUUUGGUACUUAUAGAAUCAGAGACCAGUUUGAUCGACAAGUCAUUUGCUUGGCGAAAUAAAAAACCAAACAUUUUAUUUGUCUUGACCAAACUAAGAAAUGUACGUCAUAGCUAAUUAGUAGGUAAAACUAUGCCUUUCUGACAUUGUUUUUCACUAAAGCCAAGCCUUAUUGAGACAAAAGGAUAUGUAUUUGUAAAAUAAUACGUAUAUAAGUGUGCGCCUGUGUCUGUGCGUGUAGAAUUUUUCUUUUUUUAUAUAUAAAUAUGAAUUGUGUCUCGAGUUUCGGACGUAAUAUUUCUUGUGUGUGUAUUUACCUAGCUCAGAAAACAAAAGAAAAGAGAUUAUUACUCACAAGUCACAACUUUAAAACAGAAAACAUUUUGAAUUUUCCACAAAAAAAUGAAUAUAUCAACUGUGGAAAAGCGAUGUGUAAACACAAAACGCAAAUCAAUAAUUGAUGUGUAAGAAAGUGAUUAAUAAUUCUCGAAGUCAAGUUUCCUCAUUUCUUCUUUUGAUCUUUUCUCAUACAUCCGGCCCUAUAUUUGGCAGAGCCACAUCCUAACUUCUAAGUAACAUGCAGUGUGCAGAGGUAAGUUAAUGUUACUUUUUGUACAUUAACAUUAUCAUAGUGUAUGACCCACUGGUCCUGAAUUUGAGAUGCUGAAGAUAAAGCUAGUUGGGAUGCAUGUAACCAAGUGUAAACGUUUGAGACGCUUAAGAAUCAGGGAAAUCUUGUUCCUACGUUCAAUGCUCUUAUAAGCAUGUCUCAAUAUAUUUUACAAAAUAUCAGAUAAAUGAAAAAAUUGUUACAUGCAAGAAUUUAUACAAAAAGUUUUAACUUAUUGAUUAUUAUUAAUAUACAAAACCACCCGGAAAAAAAAGUAUAUGACACAAAUGGUUCACACAAACUGUCCUAAUUUGGAACUCUUUUCUCUCUUAAUUAGUCAACGAUCAUUUCACAUAAACUUUUAUCGAGCUACUUACUUAUCAUAGUCUUCUCAUCGCAUGGGAAGAAAAAUCCAAGAAACUUGGGAAAUAAGGAACCAAACCGUGAAGAGACUGAGGAGAAGAAGCUGGUGAUGAUGUUGUAAGAAAUAGAGAUUGACUAGAUGAAUGUGGGAAUGAAAUAUUAGUAAACGGUGGUAAUGGCCAAUUUAACGCCGGAAUUAGCGGCGAUGGCAUCAUGUGAUUCGCCGGAUUUAGGCCGUGAGCCGAAGCCAUUGCCGUCAGCAUGUGGUUGUGCAUUCCAAAUCCUAAUGUCGCCGGAAGAAAAUAAGGAUUCACCCCCACUGUUGACAUCAUCUGCAAUUAUAACAUCAACUUUGAUUACAACUUAGUUUCUGAAUAUAAAUAGCACAUAUACAUAUUCGAAUGAUCAAAAUGGGUACAUAGUUCUAUAAAAUAUAAAACAUUUAGUUGGCACUAAAUAAUCACAUGAAAAGAGAUGAAUUCGAAAUAUUAAAGAAAUUCUAUAGACUUCACCAUCUAGGUUAUCUACUGCCUACUAUAUAUCAUUCCAUUUUUUUCGUCACUAAACACCAAAAAGUGGCUAUAUUUGUUUGAUCAAUUUGAAACCCAUAUUGUAAAACAAUAAUCCAUAUCUCAUAAGUUGGCGAGUCAGAUCGAAUACCAAGAACAGUUUAUGUCAACUAGUUAAAUUAACCAAAAAAAAACUCAGACUAUUAGAUAAACACUUAAAACCUCAAGCCUCAAUAAUUCAAAUAUAUGGAAGAAGAACACUGAAUAAAGUGUGAAAUAAAAAUAGUGAAUAAAGUUAAAUAUAGACCUGAAGUUGAAGUUGAAGGUUUUUCAUAUACUCUAUGGUCUUGUCGAGAACCGAAACCUUGUCCGUCUGAAAACCGUAAAAAAGCACCACCCGUUAUCAGAAUUGGAAACUUAAGGCAAGAUUUCUUCAUAUAUGCAACGGAAGUAGCGGAAACUUAUACGGAAAAGACUAGACACUCAAUAGUUAAAUUGAAACAUUAUAUAGAAGGAUCUAUAUACACACCAACCUUGUGACAAUUAGGUACGAGUUGCUGUAGCUUACGCAUCUUAUUACUCAUCUUCUCGUCUCUUCUUCUUCUCUUGGAACCUUUUCGAGUAACUGAAGGAACUUCUCUUGUAAACUCCUCCGAUUCAUCCUAAAUUAAUUAAUUUUAUUUAUAGAAAGAAAAAAUUAAAAACAGUGAAAAAUGAUAAUACAUAAGGUAACAUGAAAAUAUAUCUAUGUAUCGACUUACAUCACUACUUAAGACCUGGAUACGACGUUUUUUGGGGUUCUCAUGUUUGUUUCUCAGAUAAAAUCGAUGAUCUGAUCUCUCUGAAAAAUCUUUAAUAUGAUGAUGAUCAUCAGUUUCAGAAUGUUCAUCAGGGACAACAACCAAUAAAUCCUCCUUCGCAUUUUCUACUUCUUUAUGAAUCUCUGGAACAAUCUGAAGAUAAUUAUCAGUUUGAUCAUGAUCAAAGUAGCCGUAGCCCCAUUUUAGACCGUUGAUUAGACGAUCUUCAUCACUUCUUGCUCUUUCUGACAUCAUGCCCUGAUCUUUCACAGCAAGUGAUCCGACGUCGUUUCUCCAUCCCAAUUCCAUGAAAGCUUGAUUAUUCGACCUGCCAAGAAAAAAGUAGUAAACUAUUAGGGUUUACGAUACAAAUCAUUGAUAAAUUAUUAAAGAAAUAAAUAAAGAGAAUAACAAGGCAAGAAACCUAAACUCUGAAACCUCCUGUUUAAUUAUACUUACAUGUUAGUUAAAGAGAUAUCGGAGAUGAAAAGUUUGGAGAAGUGUUUUUUCUUUAGGGAUUUCAGCUUUGUCCGAGAAAAUGGUAUCCCAUACGCUUAUGUUAUAAGAGCGAUCGGAUCAGAUAGAUGGUAUAGUUGUCAGCUACAUUGGUGACCCACUUAUAUUGUGCCACGUUUCAAAGUAUGUGUGGUUCGUUUGUUGCGUACACCGACAACAAUAAAACAAUUCGGCUAGAUUCUAACAUACAGCUACACGAGGUUAUUAUAGACAUAUUGAUGUCAUUUGAGUUCUUUGGAAACAAUACUUUUUUGGAUUCACAACAAACAUUGUAAUGAAAAUAUUGUUUUACUAAAAUAAUUAAUACAGUAAUUAAAUUAGUUUUUAUUUUGGAAAAGUAUUGUCAAAUAAUUCCAUUAUCACAAAUUCACAAUGUACUUAAAUGGAUUAUUAUUCUGCUUAUUGUUUUUAUGAUUCUAUACGUAAUUGUCCCAAAACUACGUCAUAGUAGCAUAUAUCGACUUUAGAGUAAUCUUGAAAUUUUGCACAGAAAGAUAAAAGUAAUCUUGAUUAAUCAAUAACGUCACUAGAUUCACUACCACUUUGACACAUGAACAUAGAGAUAAAUUUAUCUUUGUACGUAUAGAAUGUAUUCAUUUAUAUAUUGAGAUUUGAGAGACAGUUUAAUAGUAUUUCUUAACCAAGAACUGUAAUGCACAACGGGUAGGGCCAUUUUUAUCCGUUUAAUUAUUUUUCCCGUAAUCUUAUCGUUUAUCAUUGAAUACUCGUCAUUAAGCUUUAUCUUUAUAUAUAUAUAAAACAAUGUAAAAUAUCGGAUGUCUAUUUGUUUAUUUUUGGUCAGAUCAUCUCUAAAUAUAAAAACAAAAAGAUGACGUCUCCGUUUGGAAAAAAAAAGGUUGACUACCACAAGUUUCAUAAUAUAAUCGACAAAAAAAUAUCGUCUGUAACAACGAUAAGAUUAUUCGAUCUCCCAAUUGGUAAAUUCGUUAUUAUGAAAGGCUUACAAAAUUCAGUAACCAGCAAUCAUAAUAAUUUCAGAGUUAUGAUACUAGAGUUCACUUUUUUGUGCAAUAAUAUAAUGGUCGAUUAUUUCCAGCCUGAGAAUGCAUUUCAUUUCAUGACCAUUUAUGGAUUCCUGAAAAAAGAAUUCAUUUAGGGUUUUAUCCAAAAUCCCACGUGGGUUGUGGGCUCUAAACCAAUCCUAUAACGAAUCAGUUUUUUUUGUUUUCUGUAACCCCACGACACAUUUAUUGGAAUUUUAGAGUCACGUCAUCAUCAACCAUACACCGAGCAGGUGCGAUGGUCCACAUUAUUACUAUCUUUGAUAAAAAAGGUCCACACUAUUUUCCUUAAUUAAAAAAAACUCCAAUAAUUACAACAUAUUCUGAAUAAACAAAAAUGACCUGGUUACUAAAUAUCAACAAUCAAAAAAAAAAAAAAACAGUAUCAAAUUCUAAUUUCGAAUUAGUAGAACAAAAAUACUAAUUAUUAUUAUUCAAUUGACUAAUGAAUGUUAACUUUGUAGCGUUGAAUCAAAUGGGCCUGAAAAAAAUCGAAAAAGAGAGAGAGAGAGGAAGAAGAAAAGGCGUGUUCACGUGAUGCCCUCGUGAUGGACAUGGUGCUAUGUCUGACACUUGGGUACUUUAUAUUUUGUUGGUGUCUUAGCGAGCGACGAAGCAAAACCACAGCCACUACAUAGGUUUCCAAUCUCCUUCACGACAACGACCUCUCGGAAUAUACGUUCCAAUCUACAACUUCCCACUGUUCAAUCUAUUUGAUAUUAUGGAAAAACUUUGCAUUAUUGAUUCUUAUUUUAAUAUUUUUCUCUUGUUCCCACCGUUUUGGUUGGAAUCAUAUACUAUACGAAGUACUAUUUGUGUAUCUAGUGGUUGAUUGACGAUUUUUAUUUUUGUUGUACAUUAAAUGCAGCAUCUAUGAUCUAUCUAUCUUCUUCUUUUUUUGCCAAAUAGAACGUUAUCUUUACUGGGCUUUUAGGUUAGCCCAUGUAAUGUUAUUAACCCAAAUAUGAAUUUAUUAAGGGCCCAUCAAUGAGGAGUGAAACAUGUUAGACAAAACUGAGAACAGGCCUCUACUUCUUCUUUUCGUAGCGAUCGCCAUGGAAAUAUCAAAUGUCUCUUCUCCGUCCGGCGGUGUCGCAGCCAUUUCUCUCAUAAUUCUUCUCCGUCCUCGGUUACUUGCUUAUGAUUCUACUAAUCUCUGUUGUUUCCGGUUGAUCAAUCGUCGAUCUUCUAAACUCGAAGGCGGAGGAGGUAUUACCGUGACGGCGGAUUGACUGAUCCUCAGCGGAGUAUGUAUCUUGACACGCGAGGAAAAAUGUUUUUUUUUUUCCCUUUUCCUAUUGUGGUUUCGAUCGAAUUCGCUUAAUUCGAUUUUGUUACAUGAAGCGUUAAAUUGAGCCAAUGUAUAUGAUUUCGAAAGCAAAAAUUAGUUAUCUACAGAACAAAUUGUCUUGUAUCUGAUAGUUUAGUGGUUUGAAAUUCACUAAAAGAGUUUUAGUAGAAUGCUCUGUCUUGGUUUAGUGGAUUUAAGCCUUGUCGUUGUUUGCAAGUUUACUAGAAGAGUUUUGGUAGAAGCUCUGUUUUUGGUUUAGUGGAUUUACAUUUGUCGUUGUGUGCGUAAUUCAGGUAGAUAUUGUUUCCCAUUCCCAGGUUUGUGUUGUGGAAUGGGAAACUGAGGCCGCUUCUGUCAAAGCCAAAGGGCCCAAACAGUUGGUUCUUUCAGGAAAGGAAUCACAAUGUUGCCAGAGGCAAUCUCUGCAAGGUAUUGUAUUAUAUGCUAAUGAAUCUGUUUUCUUUCACCCUUUUCAAUGAGAACAGUGCAAAAAUCAUUAUCUUUUUUUUUAUUUGGGCAGGUUGAGUUGCAACUUGCAAAGUUAAGGAAGCUCUCAAGUAUUACUAAGAUGGAUAGCAGAGGAUACAACUCGACUUAUGAAACUCUGAGGGGAUAUUCUCUGUACAGAGCAAAAGUGUAGCGAUGACUGCUCCAUCUCAUGUUGCUAACAGUCUUUUUCCCCCAAUUUUCUGUUAAGUUUUUGGAUUUGUGAAACCAGUUGUGUGCAAAUUCAAGUAGAUACGUUUGGGAUCUUAUGUUUUGUCGCCAAAAUUCCCAUAUACAAGCUUGUCGAUUGAAUAUGCAUACUUAAACUAUCUUAAUUCUUAAAUCAUGUUGGAUUUGUAGACUUUCCCAAUGAUGAGUGACUUGAUGAUAAAGUUGCUGAAGCUGUGGUCUUUCAUCAUCUGGUCAUGAUUGAUGGAUAUUCUUUGGUGGCAAAUAUGUUGCUGCUGGUGUCGCAUUGGGUCGGUGUGUGGAAGGGGCUUACCCAAGCCAAUGAUUUCAUUUAUAGGUCCGCUUACAAGUAAGAAAAUUAUUAAACGAAAACCAAUUAGAUACUAAGAUUGCAGAUUAGACUUUGACAAGACAUAAGUAUGUGAAGGUUCCCAUUAAUAUCCUCAUAAGUGAUUUUACAACUUGUGGCCAAAAGAGCAAAAAUUACACAAAGCGGGAGAAAGAUAGUUUAAGUCUAGAACAAAUCGAUCAUAACUCUUGAAUCUUGCGGAUCUUCGUGAAGAGGUGAGAUCUUGAAACUGUCGGGUCUUGGAGAUUUCUGUUGAUGCGUGUAAUGGAAAGAUGGAGAAGAAGAAGAUGGUGUAAGAAUUAUGGAGGAAGAAGAAGGGAAUUCAGAGAUUGUAGGGUGAAGGAUUUGUGUGAGUAGAAGAACAAUUGACGCCAUUGAUGAUCAACUUCGAAAAAGCUUUGUAUAUUUAGGGUUUUGGUGUAGAUUUUGUUUUCUCAUGUGAUUCUUAUCUGCCUUUUAUAUAUAGAGAGAGAAAAAGUGGGCCUGUGGUAUUGUGGAUCGAUGUUGUGUGUUUUAGAAUCCAGUGGGACUCUUAAAUCUUUGGGUAGCAGGCAGCAAGUGGUUUUUGUCUGACUUUUGUGUCGCAUUUAUAUCUCGCCCCCAAAACCAGCUGUUCCAC